rnacentral:lncRNA from 1 species
UAUAUAAAUGCUAUUUAAAGUAUUUUAUUCAUGCUUCAAAAUCAUUUUUGAUGAUAUAAUCGAUGAUCGACUUCAUUAGUUUUGAUCUAGCAUAUUUAAAUUGUUUAAAAAAUAAAUUUUAUACUUUUUUAAUAUUAUUUAUCUAGCGAUUCAAAGGAUUCAAAAUCAACGACUGAAAAUAUAAAUUUUAUAAAAAAUAGUGAUAUAAAAUUAAAAUUUUCGAUUAGAAAUAUUGAUCUUGUGUAAAUGGUAUAAAAAAUUUUCUAUAAGAUUUAAAUAUUUCUAUAAUAUUAAAUUUGCAAACGGUAUUGACUACCAACCUCGAUCUGGUGCAGUUGCUCUCUAUCGCUGCAUGGACACACUCCUGCAUCCCAAAGUCGCCGUUGCUAUGACAUGCGCUCGGCGAGGACUUUUUUCGAAAAUGACCCUGUAAAAUUUUGUAUUUGCCAAACUAACCCUGUGAAAUUUUUAUUUGUGAAACUAACCCUUCUCUCGCCACGUGGGCGCCACGUCAGGGAUUCCUCAAAAAGACGGUGAAUCGUUCACCGUCUUUGAUAUUUGUUGUGAAGGCGGUGAAUGGUUCACCGUCUUUAUAAGACGGUGAACCAUUCACCGUCUUUAGUACAAAUCUCUAUACUGCGCAAAUCUUUCCAAGUCCAUAAUAUGGUGUCCUUGAUAAGACGGUGAAUCGUUCCCCGUCUUCUCGAGGGCACAGAAAAGACGGACUUGAGAGAGCGGAAAGGGAAAAGGGCGGAAAGAAAAAUUUUGCACUAAAGGCGGUGAAUGGUUUACCGUCUUCUAAAGACGGUGAACCAUUCACCGCUUUUACAACAAAUUACAAAGACGGUGAACGAUUCACCGCCUUUUUGAGGAAUCCCUGACGUGACGCCCACGUGGCGAAAGGAGGGUUAGUUUUAUAAAUAAAAAUUUUACGGGAUUAGUUUGGCAAAUACGAACUUUCACAUAAUUAUUUUUGAAAAAAGUCCCUCGGUGACGCCCUAGCAAAGUACGACGGCAUUAACAUCAUGCGUGCACUGUUGGACAAAAUAUCUCUCGGCAUCAUUAUCUCCUCCAAGGCCAUCGUCAACCAUCUUGUAUUUUUUCUCGAACGUGGCAACAGUGAUGGAGAUGAAAAAGAACGAAAGAAAAAACAGAAGAAGAACGAUUAAGAAAAAGCAAUGAAGAAAAUAUGGUCUCUAUUUGCAAAACACAAAAUAGUGAACUUUUUAUACAAAUAGAGCAAAAUUCUAGUAACAAAACUUGAAUCGUAACGUUGACGUCCUUCAGAAAAUCUCGAAAGAGUCUAUUCAGAUGGUUUAUGACGUUGAUCUCUUCUUUGAUCUAAAAUUGUUUCGACGCUAGUGAAUCUUUAUUAGUAAAUUUAAAAUUUUGAGGACGAAAUGAGCGUCGAAUAGAUGUUCAGGGACUAGUAGAGCAAUUUUAACCCAUUUUAACACCUUCGUGCACAAGAAAAAAAAAAUAUUUUUAAAAAAUUACAAAAGAAUCGCGAAUCCAAAAAUGGCUUCUCUGUCACUCGUGACUCUCCCCUCCCUCUUCGCUCCGAACCCCUUUCGAUUCCAAUCCCAAAACCCUAGAUUCUCCCCCCUCUCCUUCUCCCACCGAGGUCUCUCUCCUCGCCUCUCCAAUGGGGCGCGGCGCCGGCCGCGCGCCGCGUACGUGUCGGCUCCAGCCUCUGACCCCGACUCCGGCGGCGCCGCCGCCGGCGACGGCGCCCCCGCCGCGGCGUGGCUCUCCGCGGCCAACGCCGCCGCCAUUAGCUGGGCCGUGGUUUGGCCCCUUAUUUUGAGCCACAAGAUGCGGAUUGCGGCGUCGUUGGUGUCGCUUGUGGCGUGUACUACGUGUACUCUUGCCAUGCCCCUCUUCUCUGGUUCUCUAUCCCUCCCUCGCUCUUUUCAUUAUUUGUUCUAAGUAAUUUGUAAUGCAAAUGCUUUACGUAUAGGCGACAGUUGAUAGGUUCUCUUUUGGAGAUUGAAUCCAAAAGUGGAUAGAGGACGUGAUUAAUGUUCGAAUUGUUGUAUAGGGCCUGUUUGGUUCUGAUUCUGCUUUUUCUUUCGGUCGUGGUUACUUGUAACUAAAAAGUCUGAAGCUUUUGCUGUUGGAGGAAGCAGAAAUGUUAGUCUGAGGGCUAAAAGCAGAAGCUCUAGUUUAGCAGGGGGAAGCUGUUAGUUUUAGCAGGGAGAAGCUGUUAGGAGGGAUGUAAUCUCGUAGCUGCAUGAUUCAGCUAGUAUUUUAUGAUAUAGCACUCUACCUGACGGUACUAUUGAUAGUGGAAAAUGCAUUUGUAAUCAUAAUAAGCAGGGGAUAUGGGGGGCCUUUGCCGAAUAUUUCCUUCUAACUCUGUUCUGAUCAUCGGGAUAAUAAUUAGAAAUCCAAGUUAAAUGAAAUAGUUCUCAUAACUGUCGAGUAUCCAAAUCGUCAUGCUGUUCCUUUUCAAUUAGAGAAAAUGGCCAGGGAUGGAAUCACAUUAUAUGAAAAAUGUUUAGGAAUUAAAGUUUUAAAGUGGAAAGUACACGAUGGUACUGGAACUAGCCAUAUAUUUUACCCUCUGAUUGCCCCUCCCUAUUAUAAAUUUAAGCAAGAUCUUUGAAAAAUUCUAGCAGUUGCUAGAUAUUCAGUCUUAGGGUAAUUCUUGUUUUUCCUCCUGCGUUCUUCUUUGCAUGCGUCUAACUUGUUAUUAAUGGUUAGGUUCAUGUCACAACGUGAAUGUCAUCAAUUUUAGAUGUUGCAAACUGUGGCAGGGAAUUUUUUUGAAAUACUCAUUGGAAGAGGUUCUGAGUCUUUAUGGAAGCUUCUUUCUAAAGUUGCUGCUCUUUACAUUUUGGAGCCAAUUUUCACUAUCAUUUUUGUGAUCAACAUGACUACCAUCUGGGAGAAGGUGAUGACAACCCUACGUGGGCAGAUAUUUAGAAGAAUAUUGGUUCAAAAGGUAUAUUUCUUUAAUUGUCCUCACCUUGUAUUAAACUGAAUUUUCUGUUGCAAUACUUGUUAGAUGCACACAACUACUAUUUCGACUUUGUUCUUACUCUUAAUCUCUUAGAGACAUGAAUUUGAAAGCUCAUGAGUUUUUAGACACGGUAGUACUUUUAGAUGCUUCACAAGCUGUAAAUACAUAAGAGAUGAUCACUGUAAUUUGAAGGGCCUGAAAAGUCUAUCGUUGCAUGCAAGGAUUGUUCUAAGCAUGUGUCAGGUUUCGCCGCUUUCCUUGGUUUUCGUUUUUUACUUUUCAGCAGACUUUUAUUAGAGUGCUAGAUGUUACCUAAUUGUUAUGAAACGGUUACCUUUUGAUGGGGCUCUAAGAUCAGUUUGACUGAUUGGCACUCCCAUGACCACAUCAUUUUCACUCUAUAUACUCUCAAAUCACCAAAUAAAGUUUACUUUAGUUCCUUUUAAAAGUCAUCUAGUUUAACUUAAUUGGGAAGGAAGAAUCAUAUAAGAAGUUGAAGAGUGAGAAAGAAGAAACACUUGACCUUCUGCCUCUCUUUUAUUUGUCUAAGGAGAGAGAAAACUCACUACUUUUUUAUUACCUUACAGCAUAGGGUCCCAUUUCCACAUUUGGUGGGCAAACACAAUUCCUUAUCAAUCCUUUUUUUUUUUUUUUUUUUUUUUCUGUUGAUGAGUUAAUAUUUUUGUUCUUCUUACAAUAAGAUAUAACAAGGAUGACUCCCAUUGAUUCUUGACUCUUUUGACACUGAAAUUACCAAAUGAAUAUAAGUUGCAUUCUCAAAACCAGAUAUCUAGUCCCUGUGUUAUCCGAAGCGCUUUAGUUUCUGAUGUUAAUCACUAAUUAUCUAAAUUGCCUUUUUACCCAACUGCUGCAUGACUUUUCUUAUAUUUAGACAUGACUUCUAAAUUACACUUUCUAUACAUUUGUUUUAAUUGUAGGUGACUGAUCAAUCCAAAUUGGGCUUACUUGUACUACAUAGUGUUGUCCAUGCAUGUUAACGUUAGUAUCAUUCUUUAGAAUGUUAACUUUCUCCCUUUCAGGAUAAUGCUAACUUGAACCUGACCUAGUGGUUCAGGUUUUUUUUUUUUUUUUUUUUCGGAUCAUCGCACACUCUCAAGAUAUAUAAAUGUUACCUCAGCUGGCUAUCUUCCACGAAUUUAUCUGUGUAUAAAUGCUUGCUUGUAUGAUAUUGUGAUUCUUCUUAGAUGUACAUAAAUUCGGAGUCCAUGGUUGUACAAACAUAUUUUAUUAUGUUGGGUUUCCAAAUACUUUGUCAAAUUUCAGUGACUAAAGCUAUGUAACAACUCAAAAGAAAAGGGAUUAUAAUGAAAGCAUCUAAUUUUUGUGGUGCUAUAUUCCAUGAUGAUUGACAUGAUUGAAAAGUUAUUUUUGGUCAAGAUAACUUCUUUUUAGAAACAAGAUUUCUUUGUGAAGUACUUGCAUAUUGGCUCUUCGACAGGAUUAAAGCUAAUAAUAGGUUAUACCUUUUCAAAUUUUUCUUAUUUCAUAUCAUUUUUUGUGUUUGCUCAAUCAUUUGUAUUUUUUGUAUCAGUUACUUUGAAGUCCCUUAUUGAGUUAUUAACAAAUGAUGGCUUUUUUCCUCCUGCAGGUGGAAUUUUUUGACCGCCACAAGGUAUAGUUUAUCUUUAUUAUCUUACCUGAAAGUCUGGUUAAAUAUAAGAGUUAAUUGCAACUUAGUCCCUUAACUUUGACUCCAAUGUUAAUUUUAUCCUUAAUUAAUUCUUAAAGUCCCUGAAGUUUGAUUUGAUUCUAAUUCCAGCCUUCCUCAGAUUUUCAUAUUUAGCAAAGCAAAGUCUAACUAUGGCACGUUUUAGAUUAUUGGAUGACAACUGGACUCAAUUUUUAUGCAGAACAAACUUCUGCUACUAUUUUAUUACAAUUGAAGACGAAAUUAAAAUGAAGGUCAGACUUUACAGACAAAAUUUGUAAUUAAUCCUAACUGUGGAGAAGUAAACCAAUAUAUAGAAUUUGUCUUGUAUUCCACCUUAUUUUUGCUGAUGCAAACAAUGAGGGUAUGACAUUUCUAUUUUGACUGCCGUAGUGUUUAAUUUUGUAUGCUAAACCUCAACUAUGGCUGUUGGUAGCUUAUAAAGAGUGUUUUCUUACAUUAAAAAUUUCUAUUGCUGAACAGGUUGGUGAAUUGACUGGUCUUUUGACAUCUGAUUUGGGUGCUCUAAAAGAUGUUGUUAAUGAAAAUAUAUCAAGGGAUCGUGGACUGAGAGCACUCUCUGAGGCAAGCUACUUUACAUUACUGAAAAUGUAAGCUUGAUAAAUAAAACACUGUUUUCUCAAGAAUGAGAUAUAUGCAUCAACUUUUUGGAUUAGCUUUUUACGUCUUAAACGUGUUAUAAUUCCACGUUAAGUUAGUGCCUCUUUCUCGUGGCUUCUGGGACAACUUUCUACUUUGAGAAGUAGCAGACAAGCACUUAACAGUUAAAACAAGUCAUUAAAAGCAAAAAUGAAACACGUCACGUAAUGAGAGUCAGUUUGCCUAAUUAAAAUGUCAGCUAUUUAUGCUGAAGGACAAUAUCAGGGCUGUCUGCAUCUUGUGCACCUGCGCCAAGGCAGACCGGCAUGUUUGGAAAUUUGGUUGGUCCUGUUGAACCAAAUUUUCACAACAAAGGUACUUUUGGUUCAAUCAGGCCUUUUUGGAAAUUUGGUUGGUCAUAAAAAAGUGCGUUCUUCAAAAUUUGAGAAACUCACAAGCCGAAAUAGAGCCCAUGUGCUUAUAAAUUUUAAUUGCAUGCUAGAUGGAAGGCCAAUGGCUGUUAAUCAUGCACUUUUUACCUGGAAUGUAUUUAGGGGAAGAAACAUAUGGGGCUUCAUGCAUGUAUGGUUUUGUUUCAGCUGGUUGUCUCAAAAAGAAUUCAAGAAAAUAAGGAAAAUAAACAAACCCAACAUCAAGCCUAUUUGUCAUGAAGUUGCCAUCACAACCUAGACCUAACCCAAGUUAUCUAUCUAUCAUCAAAUUAAGCUUUUGUUGUUUUUUGUAACUAUUUUCCUCUCACUGCAGGUUAUUGGUACUAUUUGCAUACUUUUUACACUGUCCUCUCAGCUUGCUCCUGUCCUGGGACUUCUAAUGGUAUCUAUAUCACUACUAGUAGGUAAUUAUUUGAAACAUAAUAUGCAAAGAAUUUACAAUUUAAUCACUGAAAUCUCUUUUGAAUGAACAACACUGCAAUUUCACUGAUUAACUAGAUUCUGAUAAACCUAUGUACACCUUUCACUUUAAAGCAUUCCAAGUUCAAAGAUAUUUCCCAUUACUCAUAAGUACUAUAAUUUUCUUUAAUUUUUUAAUAUAAAUCCUAGAAGCUACGGUGGAUUUUUUACUUCGAUCUUAGUUCAGAUGAAAAUAGAACAUCUUUGAAUAUCUUCUUCCGCAUCUGAACCACAUCCUCGACCUUAGAAAGUGUAAAAUUACUAACCUUUCAGUUUUGUGCCAAUUAAUGUCAAAUACUCAGCUGUAUUCAAGCGCUCAACCAUUCCUAUUUUUAAAUCGCAUGGAAUGGUCCAGGCAAGAAUAGCGGAUUGUGCAACUGAAACGUUUUCUGCUAUUCGGACUGUAAGCAUUUCCAAUUAUUUUGUUCAUACACUUUUCAGUUGCGUUUCAUUGUACAUCAAUCAUAUAAUAUACGUUUUUUGCUUAAGUAUCUGAUUUUGUUUUUCUUUGUUUAAUAUGCGGUGACUCUCGAUCUCUUGAAGUUUAUUUGAAAAUUUUGCUUUUUUCCUUCAGGUUAGGUCAUUUGGUGGUGAAAGGCGCCAAAUUUCAAUGUUCAAUAAUUUGGUAAGUUUUUUAUAUGCUCUGCUCAUAAUCAUAAAUUGGGAAACUUGGAUAGAAUAUCAAGGCAGUCUUAUCUCCAAAGUAAUCAUAUUAGACUACAUGGUUCUUUCUUCUCUAUUGAACUCUAUCAUUUGCUCUAGUUAAUUUGAUUCGUCUAGCUUUUCUAUGUUUACUUGAAAGCAAAAAAUAAUAGUUUUUUAAUAUCAUGUUUCCUUUAUUCAGAUGUAGUUCAAUUGUGCAUUUCUUCAUGUGAAUUUGUGAUUCCAUCAGUGUUUAAAAAAGUGCUCGCUUGAGCUCUAGGCUCACUGGCCAGAGCCUAGGCAGCCCAUAGGCGGGCGAGGUCACCAAGGUGCACGCCUAGGCCGCCUAGGCGCGUCCCUAGGCCACCUCUAGGAUCAAGGCAUGCUCAAGGCGCGCCUUCUUCAUCUAACAGGUUUAGAUCUAGUUCUAUAUACUCUAAGGCUUCGUUAGGUUCGGGGUUAAGUAAGAGCUAGUUAUUUCAGAGAUAAGGUUAAGUUCAGGGUUAAGCCUGGAAUAGACAAAUUUUGCGUUUGGAUGAUAAUUGAGUUGUUCCCGAGAUUAAAAAAAAUAGCAUUUGGAUAGAUAAGAUGGAAUAAGAGGAAUAGUGAGCAGUUAUAAAUAGAAAAUAAUGAUAUUGCUCCAAUUAUUAUAUUUGAAUUUAAAUUUUUUUAUUUUAUAUUUAAAAUUUAAAUAGAUUACUUUUACAAUUAUGGGUGCGGUUAGCUAACCCCACCCCCCAAAAAUGUGUUUGGGGUUAAAAGGGGGGUUACCCCCUUAUCCCCCCCUUUGACCCUGAACCAAACAGGGGCUAAUGGGUUUGGAUCCAUAUAUUAGUCUAAUGGGUUGAAACAUCUAAAAUAAAUUCAAAAUCCUAAACUAACAUAAUCUAAACACUAAACAAUUAUCAAAAACUCUCCGCUUCUCUCCGCUCAUCCCUCUUUCCCAUUCUUCUAUUGCCUCCCACUCUCCCUUUCUCCCGCUCGUUCAAAUGUGGACUAAUUAACAUUUUUAGUGUGACGUAUUUUCGCUUGGAAUCUUGAACACUAAGCUUUCAUAUGAUUAUAUAUCGGACCUUUCAUUUCAUAGAUGUGGACCUAGUUACCUUUAUGCUAGUCUUUAUUUGCAGAAGAAAAGGUAAUUUGUUCUUUAAUUUUAUCUGUAUUAUUUUAUUUUUUAAAAUUAUCAUAUAUAUUGCUUGGCUUCUUUUCUUUUCUUCAUUUUUUUCUUCUGAAACAUGAUUAUUUGGGUAGUUAUAGAAUAUUUAUUGUGAUAAUAUGAUUUUAAAGAGUAUUUAGUGCUACUUAAUAAUUAUUAGAAAGUAUAGUAAAGAAUUUCUUGGCUAUUUUAAAGUUCUAUGAAAGUGUGCGCCUUAUCUCUCUCGGGCGCGCAUUUACGCCUUGCGCUUUGUGUCUAGGAGCAACAGCCCUUUGAGCCUAGGUGCGCCUUGGGCUUUUUUAAACACUAGAUUGCACUUAUAUGUCCAUUUACUUAUUUACUCACACUUUAGAAUAGUCUAAACUAAAGUAGAGCUAAUCUCAAUCACACUUGGCUUGGUAGUUGGUAUUGACUGAUGAGAGAACAAUUUUAUUUGGGGAAAAGAAAUUGAAAUUUUCUUCAGUGGAACAAGGUUUUGAAAAAUGAGUGAAAUAUUGGAGCUAAGAGAAUGUAGAUUAAAGGCAACAUAAGUAAUCAUGACUUCAUUCAGCAAUUUACCUAUAAAUUAGUUAACAAACAAAACUGCAUCUAUUUGUACAUCAUAUUAUCUAAACCGGAAAGGAAACCAAUGAAGUAAUGAGGUUAUUUUUGAGAAUUGGAGCGAACUGAUUGCUAUGGCAUGUACUUCAUGAUUUUGCAAUAAUUUGUUACUCUUUUGUAGAAGCUGAAUUUUAUCUUGCUUUUACUUUUUGAUAGGUACUUGCUUACCAGAAUAGUGGUAUAAAACUUGGCUCGCUGAAGUCUGCAAAUGAAUCAUUGACAAGAGUUGUUAUUUACAUUUCUCUGCUAACACUUUAUAUUCUUGGUGGAAGCAAAGUCAAGGCGGUGAGGACUUACACUUUGCCCUACUAUACCUAAUUUGCAUGUUUUAUACUAGGUAAAACCUUUAACACCAAAGAUUCAAACAUACCACCUUGUUAAAACACAGACUAACAAACUAUGGCCACACAGGCACACAGCCACACACACAUUUAAAUAUCAUGUUCGGUUUUUUUUGUGUCUGUAAGCGAGAGAGAGAGAGAGAGAGAGAGAGAGACACCAAACUGUCCACACAGGCACACAUGCAUUUAAAUAUCGUGUUCGGUUUCGUGAGAGCGAGGGGAGAGAGAGAGACCAAACUAUGUCCACACAGGAACACAUGCAUUUAAACCAAACUAUGUCCACACAUGAACACACACAUUUAAAUAUCGUGUUCAGUUUUGUGAGAGAGAGAGAGAGAGAGAGAGAGAGAGAGAGAGAGAGAGAGAGAGAGGAUUUGGGCCUUCCCAAAAUUGAUGUCUGACAAUACGUGCUGUUGAAAGGAUUUGGGCCUAAAUCCUUCCCGAGAAUUGAUGUUAGACAUCUGAAUUGACAAUACAUGCUGUUGAAAUCAUCUAGAGUAUUCGAAGGUACUAGAAACUUAGUUUCAUGAAUUUUCAUGCCUUCUAUCCACGCAUCAAAGCGCCUCAAAAUUGACAAUUUUAACAGUUACUAUUCGGUGUUUGCUAUUUUAGUUGUUAAAUUUGAUUUAGUUAAGUCAAAGAUUUGUUGAAAAUUCUUUUGAGAUGUCUAAAUCAAGAAUAGUGCCUUUGAUGUUUUAUGGUUGACUUCUUUUCUAUGUUUAAAAAUCUUUUUGGUUGUACACCAGUCAUUAUUUUCUCCCCUUGAUGUCCUAGUAAAGAGAAUUGGAAAUACAUGACUUUUAGUUCAACCAACUUCAAAUAUGCUAAGAUUUGUUCCAGUUACGUAGGCCUUGGAUUUAUAAUUUCAGAUGCUCUAACAUUGAUAUUGUGAAUGGAUUCAUGCCCGUAUCCUCUUGAAUGGAGUCUAGUACAACAGCACAGAUCAUUAAUUUAAUUUCUCUAAUAUCGAUUUUGAGAAGCAUGUAGGCUCAAAUGUUCGGGCCUUUCUGUUUAUAUAUAGAACAUAAGCGGUUAAGUUGGUUUUGUAUUAAAUUUUCCAAACGGGGCAUAUUUUUGAGUACAGGGGUAUAGGUAAGAAAUUGAGUUUGAAUAGCAUAGAAGAAAAUCAGAUUUUCAAGGGAUAUAUCUGUAGACUUAAAAAUUUUGCAAGGGUAGAUAUGUAAAUAUUUGUAUACUAUAAAAUGCCUAUCUUUAUAAUGGAUCUAGCAAAUGUAUUCUUUGUCGCAUGCAUUUUUUAUUGGUUAGUAGAAGUUAAUUAUUUGUACAGUUGAUCUUCUUUGAUUCCAAUUAUAUUAUUUGGUGAAGUUUGGAACCUUCAUCAUUUAGAUUAUACAUGUUAUGAUAUGCCCAUUGCAGGGUGAACUGUCUGUUGGCACCAUGGCUUCUUUCAUUGGUUACACCUUCACACUAACCUUUGCCGUGAGUAAUUUUAUAUACAUUGUGCUUCAGGAACUAUGCAUUCAUGGAGAAACUAAUGGCCACACCUAGUGCACCACACUACCACAGUGGCCAUGAGCUGCCGAAUGGUCAGCCUGUCACCUAUCUCAUGUUUCAAGCCCUGCUGACCAAUGCGUUGCAGACUAUUCUUGAUUACAAAACUUUUUGUUUUUCUUUUGGAUAGUUGGAUUGAAAGCAUGAGAUACGGUUGUAUCACUGGGCAGUGCACUGGCUGACUUGGUGCAUCAGGUCCAGGCUUUAAUUUCUGCCAAACUUGAGGCAAUCUUUCUUUGAAUAAACCUUUGUUCAUUACAAUUCCAUAAGCAUAUCACAGGUCCAAGGAGGUGUUAAUACUCUUGGUGAUCUACGUGGCAUGUUUGCUGCUGCAGAGAGAAUUAAUUCUAUCUUCUCCGAGAUGGAAAUCGACGAAUCACUUGCUUAUGGUUUGGAGAAAGAGCUCCAACAGAAAAAUCUAGACCUUGGAUUGCUUUAUAGGGAAAGUUAUUCUGAGCAAAAUCAAGCUGUAAAUAUCCAUUACAUGUCGUCAUUAAAGUCAGGCAGCGAUUGUUACAGUUUAGCUCGGUCAGGUGACAUUUGCCUUGAAGGUAAAAAGUUUUUCCUUUUCAAGCUAACUAGUCAUUAAUCCUGCGCAAUGCACGAACAGAUUUUGUUAAUGUGUAGCUUGGAUCAGAUGUAGUCAACGAUUAGAGAUUAUCAAUAGUAGCAAAUUAAUUUUUAUACAGAAGAGAGUCAUACAGAUAAGUAUGUAGAAUUUGAUUAGAUUGAGUGUUAUACAUAUAGGAAUUCGUUUAUGUUUUUAAGAAAGAGAUAAAAAGAAAUAAUGGUACAUACUUAAUGGAUUUAAAGUAAUUUUGAUAAAUAGAAUUUUAUCCAGACCUUGAAGCUUACAGAGAUUAUAGUCUUAAAUUUAUGUUGAAUGGCACAAAGCCAGGCUGCCAAGUGGUCCAAAUAAACUCUGCUAGGCUUAAGGAUGUUGCGUCAGUACACGAAUUUGAGUGCCCAUUGGGCACAAACUAUGCUCCCCGUGUCGUGCUGUGGCAAUAAGGUGUCGGCACAAUACGAACCCCUUGGAGAUGGCACAAGUUAAAAUCUUCUUUUUCAAAGUAACGUGUAAUUACAUCACUCGAGUACAGAGAUUUAGCAAAAAAAUUUCAAGAACAGUCAGAAUAUAGAGCGCCAAAGAAAUUAAAUUUUUUCAUGACAAAGUGUGACAACACACGGGUAAUUUGUCACCAGGACACAUCAACAUGGCACAACAUGCACUGUGCGAAACCAUGCUGGUGAGUGCUUAGCACUUAAAUCCUUGAUUUUGCUAAUGCUAGCUUUAAUCCUGUGCUCUACACUAAAAAUAAUUAAUCUUACAUAUUUGAAUAUAAAAAAUAGAAACAAUUAGAUGAUUAAGAUUAGAUUUUCUAUACAUAUAGUAAAAAAGAUGAGCUAGAGGAUAAGGAUUUGUAACUAGUCUCAGAACAUUACAUUAUACAUAUUUCAAUAAAAAAAAUAGAAAGUAUUAGAUUAUUAAGAUUAGAUUUUACAUACAUAUAAGUAAAGAUGAUAAAAGGAUGGGUUAGAGUAUAAGGAUUUGUAACUAGUUUCAGAACAUUACAUUAUACAUAUUUAAAUAUAAAAAAUUAAAAAUUUUUAGAUGAUUAAGAUUAGAUUUUAUAUAUAUAUAUAUAUAUAUAUAUAUAAGCAAAGAUGAUAAAAGGAUGAGCUAGAGUAUAAGGAUUUGUAACUAGUUUCAGAACAUUACAUUUAAGGAUGAGGAUCUAUAAUUGAAUAGAAAGAUGAGCUACAUAAUUUCCAGGACUCAGAAUACCUAGUCCUUUAAUUUAUUCUUUAUUUUCAGUGUUAGUCAGUUAAGGCUUAUCCCUCACAGGAGUCACAGGGAAUAUUUUAGAUGAUUUGGGGCUCACUUGGGAAUAUUUUCAGUAGAAGUAAUGGUUAGAAUUCAAAGCCCCAUCUUUCAUAAAAGAAAGGGAGUGAAGUUAUUUUUUCAUAAAAUAAGGUUUUCGAAAGUGUAGAUUACUGGACAAAAAUGCUGUUCAUGAUUAGUUGUUGGACCAUUGUCUAGAGCUAAAAUAAUGAGGGGAAAAGAGCAGUCUUAUGAGUCGGUAAAAUUUAGUGAGAUAAUCAAAGUAUUUAUCCUGAUGCAGUGUUGAAGAGUGUUUCUAAAAAUUUAAGUAUCAACUGUUGUUUCAAAACUUGAUUUCAUACAACAUGUAUCUAAACGUCGGUUUACUCUUCUUAAGCUAUGUCAAUCAGAACUAAGCACCAACGCCCCACUUAGAUUAUAUUCAUUUGAAAUGAAAUGUUCCAUAGAUGAUACCCAACUACUUCAUAGUUGCAUAUGGUUAUUUUGUCAAUAAAUUGUAGUACAUUCUUUUGAAGAAAGCUUAUAGUUUUUGGUUUCAGUCAAUCUAGAACUUACCAUAAUAUAAGUUGACAAUUUCCAAUAAUUGCUCUAGAACUUACCAUAAUAUAAGUUGACAAUUUCCAAUAAUUGUUUUAACUAUAUUAUCAGCUUAUGUUUCCUUUAUAAUUGACAGAUGUCCACUUCUCUUAUCCACUAAGGUCUGAUGUCGAGGUCCUAAAUGGUCUAAAUUUGACAAUUAAAUCUGGAAAAAUAACAGCAUUAGUGGGACCCAGUGGUGCUGGAAAAAGUACAGUGGUUCAACUUCUAGCACGGUUUUAUGAGGUUAAAUAUUGUUCAAUUAUUUGGAACUCUAUUUUCUGCUUUUGUUUGAUGCAAGAGGGCUUUAUUCAGAUUGGUAUUAUUCCAUAAUUGCAGCCUACUAGAGGUCGCAUUACCGUAGCAGGGGAAGAUGUCAGAACAUUUGAUAAAAGGGAAUGGGCUCGGGUUGUGUCAUUGGUGAAUCAGGUAUUGUUUAGAUCUACAUGGUGUUGAAAAUUUCUUUAAUGAUAGCUGGCCAUGAAAGUGCUCUUCUUCAACUUGUUGAAUUUGGUUUGAUCUUGUAGUUUGCAUACAUAUUCCUACUGACUAUGUUACUGUGGUUGCUAUGAAGUGUACGUCAUAUUCCUAUUGACUAUGUUACUGUGGUUGCUAUGAAGUGUACAAUAUACAAAAAAGAGCGGGCAGGCUCAAUUUUACCAGAUAAUGAAACUUAGACAAUUUGCUCCUUUUUUCAAAUGGUUCUCUUUUUCACACUUGGUUGGGACAGUGAUGAAAAAUGGUUCAUGAUGUCAAAUGCUCAAACAUGUAGCUAAUUUCCUGAAUCCUCUAUUAUGACCUAAAGAUGUUGUUGUUUUUGCUCCUAAUAAAGCUUGAUAUUGAACCUAUGAAGUAGGGAGUGCAUUAAUUUGGUGCUUAUUUGUUUGUUGCUCCUAACAAUUGGACUUAUGAAAGCAGGGAUUGCUUGAAUUUUGCUUCUCUCCAGUUCUUUUUCGCCAUACUCAUGCUCUCUGUUUCCCUGCUUCCAUUUCUGGUCAAAUUGGGAGCAAAUAAGUUACUUCAUAUUGAACUUGUUCUUUUUCUGAUUCAGUUGGCUAGGGGUUUGAUGGUUGGUACCCGAGGGCCUAAGUUUGAAGCCUAGUUGCUUCACAUUUCUAGCUGACCUAGUACCAAGGGCCUAAGUUCUAAGCCUAGUUGCUUCACAUUUCUAGCUGACCUUAUUUAUUUAUUUAUUUGUAAAUGAACAAAGCAGGUAGCUUGCUACCUUUCCCUCUCUCUCAAUAAAAAGAAGUAUUGGCAACAAUUAUCUUUACGCAAUUCAUUUGAAAAUAUUUUCAAAUGCAUGAUAGUUCAUAGCAAAACAAAGCUGAAUUGGUUUUUUUUUUUCCUUCACAUUUCUUUUCUUUUUCCUAUCACAUCAACUUGCACUGCGUAAAUGAAGAUUUUCAAUGUUUUAAAAACUGGGUCGAAUUACGACCCGGAAAUGUUAUGGGGUCAACGGUCACUGGCAGAACUAGAAAUGUCAACAUGACAUCAUAAAUAUAUAAUUAUUAUUUGUUUUAUUAUAUAGAAAAAUAUUAUUCUAGUAUCAUACUUAAUUAUAAAAUACUAAUUUUUAGAUCAAAUUAAGUAGAUAGAAGUUUUCAAGUUUUACUUUUUAUAAUACUAAUAUGUGCUAAUAGAAAAUAAAAUUAACUAAGUUGAUUUUAAGCAGAUGGAUUUUAAUAUGACUUGAUCAAAAAAAUCCGGUCUGUUUGAUUAAAACCUGAUCGGUUCGAUGGUUGAACUGCCGGUUCGAAUGGUUCAAAGUGAUUUUUUGAUUUAUUCGAUUCAAAGGGUUGAACCAAACCAUUUUAUAGAUUGAGUCACGGUCGGACUGGUCGAACUGGCUGGUUCGACUCAGUUUUUAAAUCAUUGAGUGUUUUAGAUAACAUUACUGCAUAAAUAAUAUUCCUAUUCUUGCACAUUAGUUUAUGAGAUUGUAUUGCUCAGUACUGUACAAAUGAUACUCCUAUUCAUGCAUAUUGGUUUCAUGAGAUUAUAUUGCUACAGAAAUUGUUUUAGCCUAUUCACUGUCUGAACUAUUAUUUUCCUUUUCAUGCUUCUUAUUUUGUUAAUGUUGGGACUUCCAUUCCCACCUAUUUUAUGCUUUGUAUAUUAAAUGGUCAGUCAAUUUUUGCAGGAUCCGGUACUGUUCUCAGUGUCUGUAGGGGAAAAUAUUGCAUACGGUCUACCAGACGAUGAUGUCUCCAAAGAUGACAUAGUAAAGGCCGCUAAAGCCGCCAAUGCUCACGAGUUCAUAAUCUCUCUUCCCCAGGUCAGAAAUUAUUGGCUGAAUUUGAGUCACCGCAUGAGCUAUGGACUGCCUAUUCUGUCUCCCUUCUUCCUAUUUCUACUUGCAAUUUCGCCGCCCAAUGGAUUGUAUGCUUUUCUUGAUUUUAAAAUUACUUUCUGUAAAAUGAAGUUGGAUAGUUAAAUUGAAAAUAUAAGAUGGAAUGAAAAGCAUCAAGAUGGGCAGUCCACGGCAACCAUGGUGGAUUGUAUUCAAGCAACUCUAGUGUUACACAUUUGCGAAUUUCAUUGUAUCAUAACAUUCUACUGCACCUUGCUGCUCUAUCUCACGCUACCAUAAUUGUUUCUCUUUAGGGUUAUGACACACUCGUUGGUGAACGUGGAAGCCUCUUGAGUGGUGGACAGAGACAGGUGCUGAUCUGAUCUUAAUUCCCUUUGUUAUUUUGACUUUCUAUUAACUAAUUCUCCUUUUUUUUUUUUCAGAGAGUUGCUAUCGCACGAGCUCUUCUUAAGAAUGCACCAAUUCUAAUACUUGAUGAGGUAAGAGUCAUUUGUAUCUCAAGUAACAAAUCUAUACGUCAGUGGCUGCCACCUUUUGGCCUGACUUGUGAAACAACUUCUCCAUUCCAGAAAGCAAAAGCUUCUAAAAUCUGGGCAUCUGGCUAUCAAGUAGUGUGGAGCUUUUGCUUUGGUGGGAAGUUAAAAAUGAGCUUCUUGGGUCCAAAAGCAGAAGCUUGUAUUUGAAGCUUCUGCUGGUGCUUUAACCAAAAGCUGUCAGGAAAGAUUUUGAUGCAACAAUUAUCGUUCAUUUUUGGAAACCUCUAUUCAAACGUUCUUUAUAAGCUCCAAUGGUGGUCGAGCAGGCCCUCAAGUCUAUUAGUGACAGAUCAAGCCCGACCUCGUUCUUUCUACUUUUUCUAUUGCAGGCCACAAGCGCUCUUGAUGCAACUAGUGAGCGGCUGGUGCAAGAAGCCCUCGACCAUUUGAUGAACGGAAGGACCUCUUUGGUGAUCGCACAUCGAUUAAGCACUGUACAGAAUGCACAUCAAAUAGCUCUUUGCUCCGGUGGGAAGAUCAUGGAGCUCGGCACACACUCUGAGCUGUUGGCUAAGGGAGGUCAGUAUGCAUCCCUGGUUGCGACUCAAAGACUUGCAUUUGAGUGAGCUUUAUACCCCGUUAUUUUUAUUCUGUUUGUUUUUUUCUUUCCAUAGAAAGAUGUGUUAUUAUUUUUAGAGAGCAUUAAUUUAAUAUAACUAUACUGGUGUAUAAAAGAAACCAGCUUGUUCUCUCCAAAUGCAGGAUAAAGAAAAGGUAAAAAAAAAACUUAAUACCUAACCUGCAAUAUGAUGUAUUUUGAAACACAUACUUUUAUAAGAUUCCAAUUUUACCACGUAACCUUACAGCAUGUUCGAUCUAACACUUCCCCAUCAAAGCUUGUUUAGUACUAUAGUGUAGUUUACAAUGUUCUAUUACUCUACAAGAUAUUCACUACUCCAAUAGAUAUAUAGUAUCCAUUAAAAAAGCGUAGCGUGUUUUUAGUUAGUGUUUUGGAUUUGCUAAGAACGAACAUACAGAUGCAAUACCUCGUUUAACUGCUAAUUGGAAAGGUGUAAAAAGGUAAGUUUGUUUUGUAUUAUAUAUCAUCUUGCAUUUCCAUAUCUGGUUUGUCAUACCUUGCCUUUUAACUGCAUUAGUAUUUGAUGGACAAAAUGCAUGUUUUUUUUUUUUUUUUUUUAAGACAUAGGUAGCAUGCUAUCCAUUUCGUUUAUUUCAUUUAGAAAUAAACUUGGUUGAAAAUGUGAAUCAACUAGGAUUCGAACUUGGAACCUCGAGUAUCAAUUACCAAAUCUUUUGCCACAUGCUCUAGGGACGACAGUCGGUAAAAAUGCAUGUUUGUUCAUCUACUUUUAUGAAUGAAUAGUGUUACAAACUUACAUGUAUUUCAUAAUGUACCUCAAAACUUUUUAGUCAGCUUUACAUGUGUGAUGGUUAGGCCUGUUCAGCUUUUCGUGUUAGUAAUUGCUAUGUGUACCUUGAAAGGCCUCUUCAAAUGCUAUCAAAAGAUCAGCUUUUAUAUGAUGGCAGAUUAUUAGCUCAACAUUUUUUCUUUUUACUUUGAUUUAAGUUGCUAUAAUAAAUGUCAGAGUCAUCAGCUUUAUUUGGAUACAUAAAUAUCCUCGUUGGUAUAUUUUCUUAAUUUACUCAAGACAUUUGUAUAUUUGAUAGAUAAGAAGUUUAAUCAAAUAUACAGAAUAAAAUAAUAUAUUUAGCUUUUAAGUUAUUUUUUCAGAAUACGUGAAAUAUGCCAUCCUACGUAACUUUGGAUAGCAAAAUUUUGGAAUAAUUUAAAAUUAUACUCCUUAAUGACAAUCAUAUUUGAAGAGUCAUACUUAAUAAGUUAGUUUUGAAUAACUUAUUUCGACAUUCAAAUUGGACCUAAAAGAUCUUCGAGGAUAUCAAAGCCUUGGUUUUUUGAAAUUUGUGGAAGUAUCGAACUCUUUAAGCUAUUUACUAACUGUUGUGUGUAAGCAGUUUCCUUAUAGUCUUGUGUGCAAAUUUACUGCAUAUCUGUGUACGGGACUAUCUCGCCGCUGAUAUCCUGAUUUGUGCACACGAAGCUGUAAAAAUGCAUACCGUGCGUGAUAUUUCCUGCUACACUGACACAUGAACAUCGUAAGAUAAAAAGUAUUAACCUUCACUAAUGCAUUUAUAUAUGCUUGCGAAAAUGGUGGGCUUAUCAAUAUAAUGCAGUAUCAAGUGUUCGAUUGACACCGCAGAAUAUGACAAUGAAAGUGGUGUUAGAAUUUAAACUUGAACUUAAAAAAUUAAAAAAUAAAUUUUGAAUACAGAAUUCAAAUUCCCAUAUGAGAUGAUAAUUUAAAUUUAAAUAAAAAUUAUUAUUUGAAUUUAAAUAAUUAUUAGUGAAAAAAGUUUCUUUUUUUUCCGUAAGUCCUUCAUUCCCAGCUGGGGGGUGUUUAUUUUGAGGGGAUUUUAUUAAUAGGAAUGUCAAUUUCGCGAUCAAAACAGAAGUAAUUUGAAUGAAUCAUUCCAAUUUUUAUUUUAAAUCUUAAAUUCUUCGAAUCAAACAUUCAGACUUAGAAAUUCCUAUGAUGAAGAACUUCCUUAAAUUAUUUUGGUUAAAAUUGCUUGUUAGAAAAAAAAGAAAAAAAAAAAAGAAAAAAAGAAAAAAAAACUAUGGGUUUAAAACAAAAGUUUGGCCUGUAAUGCUGGAGGGACAUGAAAAAUUAUUGCCUGCACCGGUAAAUCCACAUGGCUCAUGCACCUUAUCUAAUUUUUAAUAGUCAAUAAUAUCUUAGAGUUAAAACGCAAAAUCAAAAAUUUGCCAAGCUAUGUUAGUUAAUUCGCGAAUUAUUCGUAAAUUUUUGAAAAAACGAAUUAAACAGCCGAAUUCAUAUUUUUGCGAAAAACUCGGAAAAAAAAGAAAUUUUUUGAUUAAAAAAACGUGUACGCGUAUAAUACGCGCAGCCGAAUUAUUCGGCCCAAAAAAUCGGACGCGCCCGCGCCUGCCCGCACCGCCCGCGCCUGCCCGCGCUCCCGCACGUGCCUGCUGUCCUGCAGGCGCUCGCGGGCCGGCUGGCCCAAAAGGCCUAAACAGUUAAAUACAAAAAAAAAACAAAAAAUAACCUUUCCAAACACCUCGCCUAAGACCAAAAAAAAAAAAAAAAAAAAAAAAAAACUCUUUCCCAAUUUUUACUUAAUUAGCUUAAUUUUAUAGUUAUUUAUUCUUAUAUUUUUAAAAAAUAUGAAUAUUUAUACUAAUAGCAUAAAUUUUGAGAAAAAAAUAUUUAAUUUAAUAGCCGAAUUUUUAAUUGGUAAAUAUAUAAUAUCCGUAUAAAUCACGUAUCCGAAUAAUUAAUGAAUCCGUUUUUUAGCCGUAUUUUUUAACGAAUUUAAAAAUUAGAUGACGAAUUUUAUCCGAAUUAUACCCGUACCGAAUUUUUGCCAAAUCCGAAUUAACUAACUAUGGUGCCAAGAGGUUAUCAGUAGGAAUCACGGAUUGGAAUACGAAAAACAACAACACUUGAAUACGGCACUGGGCCAAUUUAUAACAAUUAGGACACGAAUACACUAUAAACAUGGCCGAUAAAACAUAAUAUAAUUAAUAUAAUAAUACAUAUCUAUUAUAUAUAAAAUGUUAAUUUUACUUAAAUAUUAUUAUAUUUAUCAUAUGAAUAAAACUUAAUAAAAUUUUUAAUGAUAGUUCUUACAUUUUCUUUAAAAAAUUCUUCAUCAAACAUAAUAAUAUAUUUAAUUGUCAAAAAAAAAUUAUAUGAAUUCAUUAAAAAAUCAAAAUAAUUACCACUUUAUAUAUAUAUAUAUUUUAAUGAAAUGUAUUAUGAAUUUAUGUGGAAUUUUUUAAAGNUAAACCAACCACCCACUCAACCCUAGGGGACCACUAUCAAUUUAACCGGGGACCACUAUUAUCCUAACCGCACAUCUAUUCAUCCAACGGCCAAAAACUCAAUAGUAUCAAGGGCUUGGUGCUAUUGAUAGUAUAGUAGCAUAAUUCUAUAUAUAUAUAUAUAUAGAGUGAGGCUACUAUGCUAUCGGAAGCACGGAGCCUUCCGUGCUUCCACCUCGUUUUCGAUGUUGCGACUUUCGAAUCGUCGAUCGGUUCCGUUAAAUUUGAUCUAGAGUAUUUGAAGUACCCAGAAAAUAAAUUUUAUGAUUUUACGAUAAUAUUUGCCUUGUGAACGAAGGGGCUCAAAAUCAACGGCUGAAAAUAAAAAUCUUACAAAAUAUAAUAAUAUGACAUUAAAAUUUUAAAUCAAAGAUAUUGAUCUUGUUUUAUAUAGUAUAAAGAAUUUUCUAUCAAAAUUUCACGUGAUUUGGAUAUUUCUACACCGUUAAACUUGCAAACGGCUCACUACGGCCAUUGAAAUUUGUUGAUUUUGAGCUCAUUCGAUCACUAGGCAAAUGAUAUCGAAAAAUAAUAAAAUUUAUUUUCUAGGUACUCCAAAUACUCUAGAUCAAGUUUAAUGGAGCCGAUCGACGAUUCGAAAGUCGCAACAUCGAAAAUAAGGUGGAAGCACGGAAGGCUCCGUGCUUCCGAUAGCAUAGUAGCCUCACUCUAUAUAUAUAUAUAUAUAGAAUUAUGCUACUAUACUAUCAAUAGCACCAAGCCCUUGAUACUAUUGAGUUUUUGGCCGUUGGAUGAAUAGAUGUGCGGUUAGGAUAAUAGUGGUCCCCGGUUAAAUUGAUAGUGGUCCCCUAGGGUUGAGUGGGUGGUUGGUUUAAUAGUAUAAUCUAAUGGGUGGAAAUGAUCAAAUGGUAGAUCUAACGGUAGAAAACUCAAUAAUAUCAAGGGCUUGGUACUAUCGAUAGUAUAGUAGCCGGACUCUAUAUAUAUAUAUAUAUAUAUAUAUAUAUAUAUAUAUAUAGAGAGAGAGAGAGAGAGAGAGAGAGAGAGAGAGAGAGAGAGAGAGAGAGAGAGAGAGAGAGAGUCCAGGUAUGGUGGUUGUAAAAGCACCAAGCACUUGGUGCUUGUAAAAUUUUUACCGUUAGAUCUAUGCCUUUUAUCAUUUUCAUCCAUUAGAUUAUACUAUUUAACCAACCACCCACAUCAUCCUAACCGCACAUUUCUUAAUCCAAGGGUCGAAAACUUACAGUACUUUUAAAAGUUUAUAUAUAUAUAUAAAGAGAGAGAGAGAGAGAGUCCAGGUAUGGUGGUUGUAAAAGCACCAAGCACUUGGUGCUUGUGAGUUUUCCAUCGUUAGAUUUAACCCUUUGAUUAUUUUUACCCAUUGGAUUAUACUAUUCAACCAACCACCCUCUCAACCUUAGGGGGCCCACAUCAUCCUAACCACACAUUUCUUAAUCCAAGUGCUAAAAAACUACUAGCACCAAUAGCUUUGUGCUAUUAAUAGUAUUCUAGCAUAUAUAUAUAUAUAUAUAUAUAUAUAUAUAUGCACACACACAGGGAGAAAGAUAGCAUGCUACCUAUUUUUUUAUUUCUUUUUAGAAAUAAACUUAACUGAAAAUGUGAGUCUAACUAGGAUUCGAAUUUGGGACUCGGGUAUUAACUACCAAGCUCUUUGCUAUUUGCCCUAGGGAUGGUCGGUACUCAUAAAAAUAUUUUGAAAAAAACUUCAAAUAUCACCCCUGUUGUUUCGCACUUUUUUAUUUUAAUAUCCUGUCAUUUAAAGUAUAUCAAUUUAGUACUCCGUGGUUUCUUUUUUUUUUUAUUAUUCCCUCCACUAAUUUUUUUCGUUAAAUCAGUGACAAAAUUAAAACUAAAAAGUACUAAAGUGAAUAUUCGAUAAAUCUAAGUAAAAGCAUUUGAAUUUUUUUAUAUAUAAUUUAAUAAAAUAUUAAUAGAAGAGUCGACAAAGAGAGAAAAAUAAAAUCACAUGAUACUAAAUUGAUACGUUUUAAAUCACAAAAUAUUCAAGUGGGAAAUUAGGGAAUUACAGGGGUGGUAUUGAAAGUGUACCCGCAAGUAUUUUGAUAGUGGGGUAACUGAGGUUGUAGUAGGGGUACUGUGUUGCGACAUGGAGAUUGGCCUUUUAGGGGUGCACGUGGUUGGAGGGGUACCGUGCGGAGGUACACUCUAGUGCUGUGGUACUCCCUGUGCUGUGAUCCGGGCGACGUGUACACUGUACUACAUUCACUCGACACGUGUCGUCCGGUGGACAAAACGUUUCACCGACGACAGCUGGCCGGUUGCGUCCAGAUUGCGGGAAGGAAUUCUACACUAUUACAUUUGCACCACGUCUUUAAUAAUAAAUUAAUUAUAUUUUUUUAAAUAAAAAUAUAAUAAAAAUAUUUUUUAUAAUCAUAAUGGAACAUAUACUUUUAUAAAAAAUAUUUAAUUAAUUUAUUACGCCGCCACGUCACCAAUAUAUUCGUUGUAUUUUAAAAUUUUUCGAUUGCGGGACCACCCCUGCUGCACCACCAAUGGCUUUCGUCCGCGACACGUGGAGUCCUCCGGAUCCACCGGAGGGAUGGGGCCCACCGUAACUGUGUUGGUCCUUUUUAUUAUUUUUUUUUUCUCUUCUGAAAAAGCUAGCUGUGUUAGGAAUCUAGUCUAGUUAAUAAUAUACUUUUUAAAAAAAAAGAAAAAAAGAAAGAGGACCGAGGGCGCGCCUCGUCGUCCAACCAAAUUAUUUUAAAUGAUAAAAAAUUUUAACUCCAUGAUCAAAAUACUUAAAAUUAAUUUAAACUAUUUAAAGAAUUUAAAAACUAAAUUUUAUAAAUUUUGGAAAAUAUAGGCUGAGUUUUUAGAGUCGAUUUAUUUAACGGUGUAGAACAAUCGAAAUUACUUAAAAUUUUGAUUUUUUUUUUCUACUAUUUUGAUAAUGUUUGAUUACUCUGAUUAUGAAUUGAGAAAGUAUAAUAAUUACUUUUACAAGGUUAUUUGAUUUUUUCUGUUCAUUUUUUCACUCUUCGAUGAAUUUGAUAAUAAGUUUUUAAAAUAUCACACUAUUCGAUUUCUAUAUAUUUUUAAUAGUGUAGAUCAACUUUAAUGAUAUCGAUUAUCAAUUUAGAGUCUCAGUCAUCUAAAAUGACUUGAUAGGAUAAAGACUACUGUCAUUUUAAAAGAAUAGUAGCCGGACUUUUCUAUUACUUUUUGCUAUUCAAAGACUCACUAUACCCUUUUAAAUUUAAAGUGUUAGAAAAAAAAAUUUAAUGAGACUAGAAAAAAUUAUAGGCCUUUGGAUGAAUAAAAAUGUAAGAUUUAUAUCUAGGUUAGAAUGUACAUAUAGCAAUGCUUUUUUCUUUCUAAAAAAAUAUAUAGUGAUUUUUUGAACUUGGCAAAUGCUACAUGUAUAUCUGUAUUAAGUAUGUAUAUCUUACACUCUUAUCAUUUAAAGAUUCACCAAAUUUUAAUAAUUUUUAGUAAAAUAGAAAAAAUAAAUUGACAAGAGAAACGAGUUAAUCCCAUCCCCUAAAGGCUAGGGUGUAUGAAUAGUAUUACUCUUUAAACUUUAGCUCUUUUAUAAAUAGACAUCUAAACUUUCAAUUAUAAUAAUUAGGCUCUUUAAUUUUUAUCAAAUUGUUUAAUAGAUUUCUCUUUUCAAUACAGGAUAAUCAUUUGUAUUGCAUAGAGUUUUAUAAAGCUUUAAUAACACAAAAAAGGAUUACUUUUUGUUUUUUAAUAUGUACAAAAUUAAUAAAAAGUAAAAUUCGGUUCAAUGUAUUCUUCUGUGACAUCCCAAUAGUCCCACAUCGGAUGGGAAAGGGGUUGUCAUUGGGUUUAUAAGAGACUUAGACACUAGUAAUAAUAACCGGGCUUAAGCAUUUUGGAUUGUUGGCUGGGCCCAACGAGUUAUUAUUGCUAGUGGGCUGGGUCGUUACAUCUUCAAUCAUUAUGUUUAAUAUCAAAAUUAGAAGAUAAUAAAUAAUUUUUUUAUAUUUUAAUAUUUUAUUGUAACGAUCUAAUUCACUAACAUUAAUAAUUUAUUUUUAAGAUUAGUUGUUAAUGUGAGGAUGUUCAUCACAAUAUAAGCACCUCGCACUCUCACAUAUUAGGAUAAUUAGGGUGUAGAAAUAUAAUUGCUAAAAUUGAAAGUUUAGAUGCCGCUAAUGUUCAUGGAUCUAUCUACAUUAUUCUCUUUUCUUUUCAUGUAUUGGCAUCAUAUUUUCUAAUUUGUUGGUGAGAUCAUAAAAAUUAUAUCUUUAACCGAAUUAGCAAUAUUUGUUUAAAGUACUAUUAUUUUUAUAAAAACAAAUCAAAUAUUUUUAUCAAAUUUCUUAAUGCACAAUAAACUUUUUUUUUCAGUAACCUCAAAUGAAGUCUAAGGCUGUGUUUGGGAUUAUAAGAAAAUUAUGAUACGUGCGAUGAAAAAGUACAAUAAAAAAUAUUCUAUUUAUUUCUGCACGUAAUAUCACAUAAAAUAUUUUUAUAUGUUUUUGUCCUGACUCUGUUCUAUUUAAAAUAGUAUACCAUGAGAUCCCUAAGACCAAACUGGAAAAUGUAUGGUCAAACCAUGUCUAUUUUGAUGUUUUAAAGAGUUCAAAAUUUUAAAAAUGUUUUGGAACUUCUACAAAAUCGUUGCUCAAGAACAUAUAUUUGGGACGCCUUUAAACUAUUAAAAGCCAUCCAAAUUCAAAAACUAGGCCUAUAUUUCGUCUACAACAACAGCAGAAGCUUCAAUCUUUAUAGUUGUCAAAUAUUAACACUAUUUACGGGCAUUACAUUAAAAAGAAAUAUGCAUAAAUUAUUGUAUUUAUUAACUGCACAAUAAAAUAAAAAUAAAAUAGAAGCAAGACCAAAAACGCCUCCACUAGAAGAAAAUUGAAAGGAUGAUUUUUUUCAGCAAUCAAUGAUAAAUAUUUUAAAAUAGUCUACCAGCACAUUUUGUAAUAUUAAUAAAAUUUAAAAUAAUCAUACAUAUGAAAUAUAAUAAAGUUAAAUAUUUUAUCCUGCUAUAGCAUUUUUGGCGAUGGCUAAGGUCAAAAGAUUAAGAAGGUUAGCCAUACUAAGACUAGAAUAAAAGUUCUAAAAUGGAUGGCCCUAUUAAAAGCGGAACGUCGCACAUUUGAAAGUGUUGAUAAAUAAAGAGUCGCUAUGUAUAUACCGAUACUUAUGUUAUGCGUCUGUGAAAUAUAUUUCAACACUUUAAAGCGUCAAAAAUAAUAGUGCAUUUUAUCCUUUAGUAAAUUGGUUUGAUUUAACAGACGGUUCAUAUGACGACACGUUUCGAAGCGUUUAUAUUUACUAUAUAAUAUAUACUUUGGUUCUCAAUAUUUAAUUUAUUGUAAUUUCUAUAAACUUUUGAAAUAGUUGUAAUUAAGUUUCACAGUCUAAUUUAGCUGAUUAGAUAUUUAAGUGUAGUUAACGUAAUAAUGAUGUGGCAAUUGAUGCCUACGAUCAUAACACUGUUAUGUUACUGCUAUGUCAGUGACACAUCAGCAUUUAGCUAACUAAAUUAGCAUGUAAGACUUGAUUAUAAUAAUAUUAAAAAUUUAAAUAAAAUUUAUUAUAAAUUAAAAAUUUCAAUACGAAAGUGUCACACUUCUUACUUUCCAAGGACCAACUAUGCAAUUUAGCCUAUUAAUAAAAGAUUACAUAAAUAUCGGCCGUUUCUAAGUGGCAUAGAGUAUAAUAAUUGGCAUUUGAGAUUUCAAGUUCAAAAUCUAGUUGCUUCAUAUUUUCAGUUAAAUUUAUUUUAAAAACUGAACAAAAUGGAUGAUACUAGUAGCCAAUCCACGUGAAACCGCACGAAUUUAUACCAGCGAUACUAGCUAUCGGGACUAUACCUAAGUAUAAUAUUAAAGUUGAUUGAUUUACAAUUAUAAACUUUUGAUAAGUAUAACUAAUUUUGUGUAUAAUAUCUAAUUUUAGAAUCAGUUUUAAAGAACUAAUUUUAAACGAAUUUAUUUAUAUAUAAAAAUGAUAUGUAAUUAAUAAAGUUUCUGCUCUAUUUAGAUCUACAUCACUCAAGAAUUAAUCUGAUCGUCCCUAGUAUAAGUGGCAAAGGGCCUGGUGGUUGGUACCGAGACCCAAGUUUGAAUCCUAGUUGAUUCACAUUUCCAGUUAAAUUUAUUUCUAAAUGAAAUAAACGAAGCGGAUAGCGUGCCAUCUAUCUCUUAAAAAAAUAAAUAAAUAAAUAAAAGAAUUAAUCUGACCGUCUUUAAAAUGCAUUCGGCCUAUUAGCUUACGCAUAUAGAUUAAGUUGAGUUCUAAAUAUGAAUCAUUUAUACUUCUAAUUAUUUUUUAUAGAUAAAACUAUUUUCAUAUGCAAAUUUUUAAUUUUUUUUUCUUUUCAUAUGUAAAUCAACUAACCCCUUCAUUUAAUACAAUUCGCUUUUCUCCAAGUCUUGUACUGUAUCACUCUCACCACUUUAUUUUUUAGUACAAGUAUGCACAUGUCAUCAAAUAUUUUGUAAGUUAUUGUACAUCUCACACUCAUUAAUUUUAAUUUAAAGGCUUAUACCUGAGACUUUUAAACUCUUUUGAAUGACCAAAACGUCAUAUUAUAUUCUCAUGAUCUCUCCUAUAUAUGUCAUAUUCAUAAAAAUCAUGAAAUCAAUUUACAUUAUAUAGCUUAAGAAAGUAGCCCAUUAUUUAGAUUUUAUAGGUUUGAAACUAAUAUAACAUGUUAAUUGUUUAUUCCAAUAAUUAUUAUUCAUAUAAGAAAAAAAAGUUUCAUGAAAGACAUUUUUUUUUUUUAUCAUUUCUUUUCUUUAUAUAUAAAAUUGUAAUCCUUGAUUUGAACUACACUGCUUAAAUAGCUAUAUAUAAGAAAUCAAGAACUUAAAUUUAUUAUCUAGGCAUUAAUUGGUUCAAAAAAUCCACCAUAAAGAAAGAAUCACUAUUUAAUUUCUAUGAAAUUAAUAUUCGAAUGAUUCAAUAUUUUAUAUUGAUCUUCCCUAGACUUGAAUUUCGAAAAGAACUACAUGUACACCUAUAUAUAAGUAUAAAUUUUAUACUGUAUUCAUCCUGAGAUGUAGAAAAUCAUUGUGUGAUUCUAGUAUUAAAACAAUAAGUUGAUAAGGUUAAUGAAAAAAAUAUAGUGCUAUAGAUGGGCGAAGUGCCUAAGGUUUAUGCAUAUCUUAUAGGUGCAAGGGUAGCAUUGCUUCUUAAUUUUAAUCUUCUUUAUAGAUAUUUAUUAUAUUUUAAUUUUGGCAAGUAUUGGACGUAAAUCUGUGUAUGUGUAAUUCUUACAUCUCAUCUACUCUGAGAUUUAUAAUAGUUUUGCCCAUUUUUAGCAUUUAAAGAAAUUGAUAAGUCUAGUAAAAAAUAUAGGCCUUUGGAUAGAUCAGUGUAAAUUUUAGGGUAAACUUCAAAUACCACCCUUGUGGUUUCGUACUUUCUCACUGUAGUAUCUUGUGGUUUAAAGUGUAUCAAGAUUGUGUCUUGUGGUUUCAUUUUUAUCUUUUCGUCAGCCUCUUUGUUAAUAUUUCGUUAAAUUAUAGACAAAAUACUUCAGAUACCUCAUCUAUGUUUAUCGAAUAUUCACCUUACUACCAUUUAGUUUUAACUUUGUUAUUGAUUUAACGAAUAAAAUUAGUGAAAUCGAUAAUAAAAAGAUAAAAAUAAAACCACAUGGCACUAAAUUUGAUAUACUUUAAACCAUAGGGUACUAAAGUGAAAAAUUGUAAAAUUACAGGAGUGGUAUUUGAAGUUUUUUCUAAAUUUUAUGUUUACUCCAUACAUGUACACCUAGGAUUUGUCUUUAAUUUUAAUUUUACAAAAUACUAUUUGUAGGCCUAUAUAUAGGUGCAAAUCUUAUACUUCCCACAUUUCUAUUGACUCUUCUGGAUUUUUAUUAUUAAGAAAAAUUAUUUGAUAAAAUUAAUGAAAGAAUAUAAAUUUUUUAUUGAAUAAAAUAUAAGAUUUACAUCAAUCUUUGUAUACCUAGCCUUAACAUUUUUUUAAAAAAGAUUAAUUGCAUGCAAGUUCUUUGUAAAUAUAUCGAAUAACAAAUAUAUUCCUACAAAAUUUAAUUUUUUAUAUUUAUUUAUCAAUAUAAAAAUACAAUAAUAUUCAUAUUUGUCUUUCUGAUUUGUUACUGUUAGAACAUUAUUUAUUUUUUAAUAGAAGUUAAGUGAAAUAACGUUUUUGUAAUUAUAAAUAUGUCCCUCCAAAAGUACCAACUCUUAGAAUUAUAUAAAAAAAAAAAUUCAAAAAUUUUCAACUGUUAUUUUUUUUUCUUUCUACCAUCACCAAUAAUAUAAGAGAAUUAAAAAAAAUCAAUUUACCUUACUUACUAACCAGAGUUAAAUAUUUUAUCUAUAAUUAAUUAUAUUUUUUUUAACAGAUUUAAACAGUAGGAAUAUAUUUGAAAAUAUUAAGAUUUUUGUAUAAGGAUAUAUUAAGCUAUUUGAUACGUUUACAGAGAGCGUCCGCUGUUAACUUUUUUUAAAAAUAUUUGUAAUAAAUAAAUUUAGUUGAAAAUAUGUUGUAAUUAAAUUUUAACCCGAGACGGUAGGUCGCACCGUUAACGUUGCUCCGUAAUUUUAAUUGUACCAAAGCCACCACUGCCCCCACGUACACGCAAACUCGCUAUCCUUUUUGUUUUAUAAUAAUUUAAUGUAAUUAAAUAUUUGUUUCCACUGUUCUAGGGACUCGUGCAAGGUGUUGUGGUCCCCACCAAGUCCAACGAGGGAUGGAGGGGGAGGGUCCCACAAACUGGUUGGCUCCAGUUGGUUCUUCUGUACCGCACCACCAUCCACAGCCGUUCGAUCAUCUGGGGCCCACGGAUCCGUGAUGCCUAUGCUGAUAUCAAAAUGUACCCCAAAGUAUAGGAAAUUGGCACGGAAGAUGUAGAUGUAGUAGGUAGUACCAACCAAUCAGGCUCGUUAUAGUGCUGCUACAUGUACUCCUAAAUAUACCUGAUGAUGAUAUGUUAUCAUUACACUUCAAAUAUUAAUUACUGAACCUCAAAUAUUAUUGUUAAGUUUUAGAAAAAAACUUAAAAAUACCAUCUAAAUAGUUUCACACUUUCUCACUUUAAUAUCACGUAGUUUAAAAAUAUAUUAAUUUAGUGCCAUAUAAUUUUAUUUUUAUUUUUUUAUUAUUGAUUUUACUAAAUUUUUUAUUAAAUUAGUGAUAAAGUUAAAACUAAAGAAUACUAAAGUGAAUAUGGUUUUAUUUUUAGUGUCAUAUGGUUUUAUUUUUAUUUUUUUAUUAUCGAUUCCACUAAUUUUUUUUGUUAAAUUAGUGAUAAAGUUAAAACUAAAGAAUACUAAAGUGAAUAUUCGAUAAACCUAAAUGGGGUACAUGAAGUUUUUUGUGUAUAGUUUAACGAAAUAUUAACGAAAAAGCUGACAAAAAGAAAAAAAAAAAUGAAACUACUUGACACUAACUUGAUACACUUUAAACCACAUGACAUUAAAAUGAUAAAAUACGGAACCACAGGGGUGGUAUUUGAAGUUUACCUAAUAUUUUUAAUUUUUAAAUUAGUUGUUGCAUAUAUUAUCAUCAACCAGAUUAUUCUACUUUUGCUUUCGCCUAAUAUAGCCUCUUUGGUUAAAAACUAGAUUGUGUAGUGAGAGCGUCCAGAGUAAAGACCAACGACUAAUAUAGUAGAUCUCGGGAGUAGUAUUUUAAAUUUAGACCAAUUCUUUUUUUUUUUAUCACAGAAAGAAAAAAAAAAAAAGGAUAAAAAACUCANNNNNNNUUCUUUAUAUAUAUAUAUAUAUAUAUAUAUAUAUAUAUAUAUAUAUAUAUAUAUAUUUUGAGAGAGAUUGGUAGCACGCUACCCGCUUCAUUUAUUUUAUUUAGAAAUAAACUUAGGUAGAAAUGUGAAUUAACUAGAAUUUGAACUUGGGUCUCAGGUGCCAACCACCAAACCCUUUAUCACUUGCUCUAGGGACGGUCGGUAAUACUACGUAUAUUAUAUAUCUAAAAAGCACAUAUAAAUCUUACAUACUCUUCAUCCAAAAAUCAAUAUCUUCAUAACAGGCUAAUCAACAUUUUUCCUUAAUAUUAUAACUAAAAUAAAAAAAAUUGUCACUUGCUCCAGGGACGAUCGUUAAUACUAUAUAUAUUAUAUAUCUAAAAAGCACAUAUAAAUCUUACAUACUCUUCAUCCAAAAAUCAAUAUCUUCAUAACAGGUUAAUCAACAUUUUUCCUUAAUAUUAUAACUAAAAUAAAAAAAAAGUCUAUGUAUGCAAAUAGCAUUUCCCAUUUAUCAAUAGUAGAAAUGUAUAGAACUUACGUGAACUAUAAAUCAUUAUAAUUCAAAUACCUAAUAUUUUAAAUUUUUGAUUUUAAUAUCUAAUGUUUUAAUUUGUUUGAUUUAAGGUAUUUGAUUAUUUUUUCAAUAUAAAAUUUAAUAAAUUUACAAUUACUGGCUUUAAUAAAUUUAUAAUUAUAUGAAUUGCAGAAUGCUAAUUAAGUUUGCAAAUAUAAACAACAUAUUUAAAUUUCAAAGUUGCAGAAUCACUGAGUGUCACAAAUUAAAUAAAUUAAAAGUUCAGGCAGCAAAAUUCAAAAUUUUAAAGUUUAAGUAUGCUAAUUAAACUCGUAAAAGAUAAACGAUGUAUUUAAAUUUUAAAAUUAAAAAAUUAUUAAGUGACUCAAAUUAAAUAAAUUAAAAUUUUAGGCCACAAAAUUAAAAUUUUUAAAGUUUAAUUAUGCUAAUUAAGCUCGUCAAGAUAAAUGAAGAGUUAAAUUUUAAAGUUACGAAAUCAUUAAGUGACUCGGAUUAAAUAAAUUAUUUAAAAUUUAUGCGGUAAAACUAAAAUUUUAAAAAAUUUAAUAAUCAGAUCAAAAUAAAUAAUAAUUAAGGCAAGCGAGCGUUUGGCUCGUCGUAAAACGAACCGAAAGAUUAUUUUCAGUACAAAAAAUAUUUUUUCGCCUGUUUGGUUCGACAUAAAAAUAUUUUUUCGUAAAAAUAUUUUUUACGAAUUUGAAAAAAAUAAAAUUUUUAUUUUUUAUAAUUGUUUGGUGGAAAAUAAAAACUCAAGCUACGUAAUAUUUUUUUCACUCAUUUGUUUUUCCACUGAACCAAACGAAUGAAGAUUUUUUUUUUCUUUAUUUCAACCAAACAAAAAUGGUUAAUUUGCAUAAAAAAUCUAAUAAUUUUGAACUUUUGCAAAAAUAAGUUACAUUUUUUAAUUUUUGCAUAUUCGGAUCGAAUUUUUUAGAAAACGGACCAAACUAUCCUUAUUUUUUUUUCUCUCGUUCUUUUUUUCUCUCUCCGAAGAGGGCAGCGAUGGUGGAGGCGGAAGCGGCCCAUCUCGUCUAUGUCCUACACACCCUCGCCCUCGCACCCUCCCUCCACCUUCCUCGUUUCUAAGCCCACUAAGGCUGCACCUUGACUCUCCUUUUUUUUUUUUUCUUUCUCCGACCUUCCUUUACAGCAUCUCUAGCUAUUUAUAACAGCAAAAAAGGCAGCAUCAUAUCCUCUUCCUCUCCUUUUCUUCUCUCGCUCUUUUUCUUUUCUCUUCGACCCUAUCUACCGCCUCCGAGAUCUUUCACGACAGUAAUGAGGACGUUGUAUCUUUUUCCUUUGCAUUUGCCGGCAGGGCCACCGACAUUGGUGCCGGAGAAGGAGGAUUCGAAGCGAGUGCGGGUAAGAGCGGAGUGGAGAAAAAAAUAUGCUAAAAGUAAAAAAAUAAUAAAAAAAAUAAAGAAUAAAAUAUAUAGAAAAAUAAUUUUUUCUAUAAAAAAAUGAAGAAUAGAGAGAAAAGAAAAAGACAAUGAAUUUGUACUAUUUAAGAGGAUUGUCGUAUUGUUUCAAAAAAAUGAUGUACUGUUUUAGAAGAACGUUGCACUAUUUUAGAGAAAAUUUAUACUUUUUGAAAGAAAAAAUAUAUAUUUAUGAACGAAAGUUGCACUUUUUGGAUAAAAAUUACACCAUUUUUUCUCCUUCUCCUCCUCUUCCUAGCCAACUAAUACAAUUUUGUUCAAAGAGUACAACUUUCUUGCAAUUUUUAUCCAAAAAAUUUUUUUUUUCUCUUAAAUAGUCUAAACUUUUUUAAAAAUAAUGCAAUAUUCCUUUAAAAUAGUGCAACAUUUUUCUGAAAUAAUGCAAAUUCACCAUUUUCUUUUUUCUGAAAUGGUGCAACUUUCGUCUAAAGAGUGUAGCUUUCAUUUCAAAAAGUGUAAUUUCUGUCUCAAAAAGUGCAACUUUUAUAUAAAACAAUGUAAAAUUUUUUUAAAACAGUGUAAUUUUAUUUUAACAGUACAAUUUCAUCUUUUUUUUUCCUUCUUUUAUGAUUUUUUUGUCUUUUCCAUAGGAAAAAAAUAUUUUUUUUAUUUUUUUAUUGUUAUUUUUUUUCUCUCUAAUUGGUCACUACCUUUCCCUUUCUCUAUCAUAAUGAUCGCUUUUCACCGAAAUGAUCGCUUUCACCGAAAUGUAACNAGGGACGACGGUGUUUGUUUGGCGGAUAGAAAAUUUGCUGUAGUAGAGAUAGAGGAUAAUGGUGGAGGAAGAGGACGCGGUACCGUCCUUACUAUCGUUGGGGAGGGCUGCGAAGGCAGUGGAGGAGGGUCAGAGAGAAAAUAAAAAAUAAAAGGUCGCGACGCGACCUCGGCAGAGUCAGAGGCGAGAAGAGCGAGGGUGCGCGGGUGAGGGCGAGGGCGAGGGCGUGAGGAGCAGAGCUCCGUCGCCUUCUUCUGCGAGAGAAAAAAAAAAAAAGAACGUGAGAAAAAAAAAGAGAAAAAAAAAUAUAACGGUAUUUAGGUUAGUUUGCUGAAAAUUCGGAUCGAGUCUGCUAAAUUGAAAAAGACGGUUCAGUUUUGUAAAAAUUCAAAACUUGUAAAUUUUUUAUAUAAAUUCGCCAAUUUUUUUAUAAAAUAUUAAUUUUUACGAUUUUAUGUUGAAUCAAACCGAUACUUUAGUUCUGUGCACUUUUAUCGCUAUUGAUGGGUAUAUAGAUUGCGCCUUGUGGGUUGUUACCUUCUCGGAUACCCCACUAAAUACAUAUUACUCCAAGAAAAAUUAAACUUUUUUUAAAAAAAGUCGUUACAAGUGGGGCCCAGGAUCCGCGUUGCCAAGGUGGUCCCCACGGGGGGUGGGCUUUAAAAGCCCCACCCGCAAGGCCACGGCGCACUCGACACGCGUCCUACGGGCGGAGUAGGGCCCACACCUUCUCCGCCCCCUCCGCAUUUGCUUGCGCCACCCAUCCGCGUGAUACUUGGCGCGCGCGGGGACCAUCCCCCACCACCACCCCCACCCCCAACCCCAACCCCACCGCGCCUCGGGUGGGGCGCCGUGGGCCGUGGGCCGGACCCGGGUGGCCCAUGCGCCUCUCUCGAGCGCGCGCACCUACCCUACCCACGACAAGUCUCGCGGAACGACGUGGACCCCACAAAUAGACGACACAGUGUCACAUGCACCCGGCGCAACGCGCACCGUACUCGGUUUUUUUUUUUUCUUGGAUUAAUUUAAUACACAUUCCUGAAUGAUAAAUAUAUCCCUACAAGUUCAACUUUUAUAUAUUGUACUUAUAAAAGUUCUGAUAUUUUCAAAUAUGUCUCUAUUAUUAGAAUCCGUUAAAGAAAUUUAAUUACACAUAGAUUAAAUACUUGAUCCUGAUUAAUUUUUGACGUUUUUACCCCUAUAUAUUAUAGGGUUAUAAUUUUAGAGAGAUAUAUUAAUGAUGACAAAAUUGAAAAUAUAAAUAGUUCUCUAACAGUAAUAAAUCAGAGGAAUAUAUUUACAAAAAUUAGAACUUUUGAAAAAAAAAAUAUACAAAAGUUAAACUUUAUAUAGGGAUAUAUUUAUCAUUAACUAUGUUUGCUGGAACCCGUAUGACAUUAACCUCUUUUUUUUCGACAAAUUAGAUUCGUCCAUAUCAUAAUUCCAACACAACAGUAAAUACAUAGGAACAACAUUGCUGGUUCCAAUAGCAAUACUAUUUUUUGUUUUUUAAAAUAGUUUUAGAUGCAACGAAUUAAAAUUUCAUUCAUUGUAUAUUUUUUGGUGUAAUUAAAAAGUCAAUGAUACUAUACUUAUCAUGCUCUACAAACAAAAAAAAUCUAAAAUUUAGUUGGUAUGUAUUUUCAAAGACAGUUUAUAUUUAAAUAUUAGAUACUUUCUAAAACUAACAAUCUCUUACAUAUAGUGACUUUUUAGAUAUUAUGUAUCAAAUUUAGCAUGAUUAUAUUUUAAUAUUAAGCCUCUUUUCAUUAUCAUUUGACUUUAAGGGGUCAUUUAGUUGCAUAUAAUUGUAACUGUAUGUAAAUACAAAUUCGAUAUUUUGUUUGAUGUUUUUAACUCCAACUGCUGCAGUAGGAACUGCAGGAGGAGGUCAAACUGCAGCAAUUGGAGAGAGUAAUUUUAAAUAAAAGAUAUACUUACCUGCUCAAUUAUCUUUUAAACAAAAUUUUUUUUCUUUUUUAUAUUGGAGGUAAUCUCACCACCAUAUAUAUAAAAUAAUAAAAUUUUAAAAAUUAUUUCUCAACUGCAUGUAACCAAAUAAAUUAUUUAUAUUUACAGUAUUUUCUACUACAUCCAACCAAACAGGAUGUAUGUAGUUAUAACUGCUGUAUUUUUAACUACAUGUAUCUCUAAUUAUACUGCAUUGAUAAUUAUAUCUAAUCAAACGGACCCUAAGAUGCUUCUGUUAUCAAAUACAAAGUAUGGUGCACGGUGCACCAGGUUCAUACGAAAACAAUUUUCGAUUCGGUAGGCAGCCGACCGGGCAUGCACCACCCGGGUGGGUCCCGCCACGGUUAUUAUUUAUUUAUUUAUUUUCACCCUUUCCCUUCGUCCUAAACAGACGCUGUGAACGUACUCGAUAUCGUACUGGUAAGGCAUUUGAAGCGAGGUGAGAGAAAAGGGGAAGCUACUUAUCGGGAGAGUGUAGUAUUUGCUCCCUAUUUUAGGAGGGUGAGAAUAUCAGAGAGGAGGAAAAAAAAAAAAGAAAAAAAAAAGGUAUGGUGAAGUUUCGUGGGAAUCCCACAUCCCUGUGAGACCACGUUGGCAAGAUAGGAAAAACCAGAUCACCUUUGCUCGGUAUUAAUUUCCAGGCUAUGAAUUGAAUAAAUUUUUUUUACUUUUCAACACAUUUAUUUGGUGAAGAGACAGAUUUUUGGUUUGAUUUUACAACUAUUAUUUUAAGUUGAAAUUUAGCGGCACGCCAAAUAUAAAAUUUAAAAAAUGAUAAAUUGUAUAAGCAAAUUUGAUUCUUUUAUAAAGUUGUAUAUAUAUGCUAGGGGUAGGAAUAAUAAUUGAUUUUUUACUAUGCAUAGAUCAUCAAAUGAUAUAUUUGUUAGAGUUAUAAUCAUUCUAUAUUAUGAACUAAUUAUGUGCAUUUAAAUUUAUAUUAUUAGCGCAUUUUAAAAUGAUGAGAUUCACGUAAAUACAAAUAAUUAUUGUAAAUUUUAUAUUAUGUUAGGUAAUAAAGAUUUGGUAUAGGCCUUGUGGAAACUAUAGAUUAUUUUGAUUAACUAUUCAAACUCUCAAAAUUUUAAUUUUACUAUUUAAUUUUUUUAUUUAUUUAAUUUGAGUCGAUCAACAAUAUUUGACUUUAAAAUUUAAAUGUGUCAUUUGCCUUUACAUAUUUAAUAAGUAUAUUUUAUAUAGUUUUCGUAACUAUAAAUUUAUUAAAAUAAGUAAUUAGCUUAAAUUUUAAAAUUAAAAUAUCAUUUAAUUGACUCAAAAUUAAGAAAUUAAAAAAUUAGAUAGUAAAAUUUUAAAAUUUUAAAAUAUUAAGUAGGUAAUUUAUAUUUUUACCUAACUAUUUAGGUAAUAAAGAUUUUUUAGUGAAGAAUUUUCAUCUACUUCAGGGAAUGUACAAAGCGACCACAAAAUGGGGCCCAGUGACCCACUACUGCAUCAGACGGCUGGGAAAGAUCGAUCGCGGGGCCCGCGGGGAGCUGCGCAUCCGUACGAUGCGAGGGAUUAGAAAAGAAGCUGGGGGACGGUGCAAAAAUUCGUUAGGUCUACCCCAUUUCCCCGUCGUCGCACUGUGUGUGUGUCUGUGUGUGCGUGCUCUCUUCGUUGUGCUAGAAGCCAUAAAGAUGUGACCAAGUAAAAAAAAAAAAAAAAGUAAAUAAAAAGAAGAAAAAUUGAAGAUAUGAUGGAUUCUUCUCAUAGCGGGAAGAAAGACAAACCUGGAGGAGGGGAGGACGGCGGUCAUCAGCGGGCGAUAAUGCCGAAGCCGGAGGCAGCGGCGAUGGGGUUGGCGGCGGUGCCGAAAGCUGAGCCGAUGGAGGUGAUGGGAACGAACAUUCAGAUGAUGCGGGGGGCUGGGGCUGGGGCUGGGGCUGGGGCGGCAGCGGGGAGGACGAAGGACAGGCACACGAAGGUGGAGGGGAGGGGGCGGAGGAUACGGAUGCCGGCGGCGUGCGCGGCGCGGAUAUUCCAGCUGACGCGGGAGCUGGGGCACAAGUCGGACGGGGAGACCAUCCGCUGGCUGCUCCACCACGCCGAGCCCGCCAUCGUCGCCGCCACCGGCACCGGCACCGUCCCCGCCAUCGCCACCACCUCCGUCGACGGCGCCCUCAAGUUCCCCACCCACGCCCCCUCCCCCUCCCCCUCCCCUUCCUCCUCCGCCGCCGGGGACAAGAGGAGGAAGCUGCAGCCAUCUAGGGUUUCCGGGAUCGGCGCCGCCGCGGGGUACUACACGAUACACGACCCGCUCCUCCCGGGCGGAGGAGCGAUAUCGAUCUCCGCGGGGCUCGCGCCCAUCCUCGCCGGCGCCGGCGCGGGGUGGGUGAUCCCGCCGGGCGCCCUGUGGAUGAUCCCGCCGCCGCACGCCGUCGCCGCCGCCGCCGCCGCCGCCGCGGCCCCUGGGCCGUCGACCCUGUGGGCGCUGCCCCCGGGCUCGCAGAUCGUAAACUUCGCGGCGGCGGAGCCCAAAUCGCCCAAAUCGCCCAAGCAGCAGCAGCAGCAGCAGCAGCAGCAGCGGGAGCUCCAGCUAAUGGCGGAGCCCGCAAAGGAUCGUCGCAAGGGAGAAGAUGAGGAGGAGAAAGAGGAGGAGGAGGAGGAGGAGGAAGAGGAAGAGAGCGGGGCCGAAGAGUAGGUAUGGCUUCGUCUCCUCCUCCCCGAUCGUUUUCCUAUUCUCGUUCGUUUUUAACAUUAUUAAUAUUUCUUUUUUAAAAUUUUAAGGUAGAUAUAUUAUUAGGCUUGGGGAUAUUUCAUGUGCGUUUUCCACGUAACAUUUUUAGAGUUAACUUGGCUAGUUUUCUUCCAAGUAGAGUUGUUGUUCUUCAUCGAUGAAAUGAAAUCUCGCCAUUGUUAUCCGGUCCUAUCUUCUCUCUUUCUUCUUUCUCAUCUUACGCACACGUGACAAAUUUCAAGUUGACACUGAGCCAUAUAUAUAUUUUUUUUUAAUUUUAAGUUAAUAUUUAUUUAAAAACCAGGAAUUUUUAUUAAACUUAACUGUUUUAUUAGCUGUCAAUUAUUAACAGUUGGUAACUUUAUAAUUCACUGCUUUAGAACAAUAUUUAAAAUUCACUAAAUUGAUUAAUAAUCUUGUCAAAUUUAGUAAGCUUACGUUACUUUGUUGCGAGUAAAAUUGAAUAAAUUAACUGUUAAUAGCUUAUCGAGUUAGUUAACUAUAAAAACCCAGUGUGAAAAAACAGAAGUUCUAGGGAUGUCAAUAAGAAAGGAAAAGAAAUUACAAAAUCUGUAUAAAUUUAAGUCGUUAACCGGAAAGAACUUUCAGUUUUCAUAAAUAGAGUUCCAAACUCAAGAAAAAAAAUCAAUUUAAUUUAUUAAUUAUACAAAUAUAUUGCGUACAUAAUUUUAUAAGACUUCAAACAAUAUUUCUUUAGUUUUAAUAAUUAAUUACAAGAAUAAAAGAAUAUGAUAAAUACAUGUUUAAUUUUUGCGCUCUUUUUAUGUCGAAAUGAAAAAAAAAAAAAAAUCUUUGUACAUUUUUUAUGUUUUAUAAGAUUGUAUAAGUUGGUUCAAUUGAAGAAGGAUUCAAUCGAUCUUUUUUGAUAAAAGUUAGAAGGAUUUGUUUGCAAAACAGCUAACAUUGAGGGACCCUCGUACAUUUUUACCUCACUACUUCUACUUCUACUGGAUAAUUAAAAGAGAAUGUUACAUAAAAGAAAAUAAUAAUAAUAAUAAUAAUAAUAAUAAUAAUAGAGGUAAUUGUUUUUGAGUUGUGUGGGGUUAGGUUUGGUAUGCGGUGGUCCCCACGGUGCACCGCUUCGUGGACGGUGCGCGGUUGUGGGCCCCGAGGUCCACCAGAGGGCCACCACCUGCCCCGUCAUGUGAUGCUGUUGGGGCGCGGGGGGCCCAUGUGGGAGUGGGAGUGGGAGUGGGAGUGGGCCUGGCCUUGUGGGUCCCUCUCUUUCUAGGGACGACACGUGGUGGUCCCACCGCCCACUUGUAGGGUCCACAGUUUCCUGGUCUACCACGUCAUCAGUGCGCCGAACCAAUCAACUGCGGUUCUUUUGAAUAGUGUUAUAUAUAUAUAUAUAUAUAUAUGUUGGAUAGUUUUGGCGUUAACCCCAAAAAUUUGAACGGCUAGAAUUACAUAAUUAAUUUAACUUAAAAUAUUCCGACAGUAUUCACGAAUCUCGAUUGUGGCAUGGCCUAAUCAGUCUUACGCCACGUCGAAUGGGAUUCAGCCCAAUCCGACCUAUUAUCAUUUCGAGUAUAGUUUAAUCUAACCUCUCAAAUGGGGUCAUAAGAUAAAAUAAUGAUUUAUGUAAACCAAUAAUAUAUUUUAAAUUAAUCAUAUUAGAUAGAAAAUACAGAUAGAUCCAGGUUGGUAGAGUUAUCAUCUUUGAGCGGUCUCAAAUGGGGCUUUAAGUGGGAACGAGAAAUAUAAAAAAAAGUAUAACUCGUCCAAAAAAAAAAAUUUAUUAAAACUUGUUUUCCCCAUCUAUCCAGAAUAAAGUGAUAACCAGGAAACAAAAAUAGAAUAAAAAUUAAUCCACUCUGAAUCAAGCCCACCUGAUUAAAAAAUAGGGCGAGAAAUUGAGGACCCUACUGCCUCCCAUUUUAUGCUGUUUGCAUCUCUAAUAUUGAAUCAUAUAAAAUAGCAAAAACUUUAAUGAAUGGUUAUAUAAUAAUUUUUAUAUUAAAAUACUAAUUGUUUAAAAAAAAUUAUUUUUGCACUUGUAUACCAUGUCAAGAUUUUCUAUUUGAUACAUAAUGCAUAAUCUAAUUGGUAACAUUUUGAAGAUUUAUAUAUCAAAAUUUACAGGUUUUGUACACUAAUUUUUUAUAGAAUUUAAUCCUAAGGUGAUAGAUUAACAAAGUACAUGGUAUUUUAAUUAUAGCCUUUUUUAAUUUUGUAAAUAAUAUCUGUAAAAUUAAAUUACAAUUUAAAAAUAUUGAUUGUUAAUAUAUAUAUUUGAUGUGGUGCACAAAUUAUAUUUGUACAUCUGGUAUGGGCAAUAAUUUAUCGAUUACUAGACAAAUGGCCCGGUCUACUAGACCCGUUGUAGGUAUAUAUUAUAAUAUUAUUAUAAAGUAUUAUAAAUACAUUAUCUUGCCGAGUUGGGGCCCAUGGAAUGGGACACGUGUCGCGUGCUGGGUGGUGUUAGGGGGAGUGUGGUGGUGGUGGACCAGGUCCACUGCUCUUCGUUGACGUGGCGCGGGAUGGGGUGGUUGACGUGGUGGAUAAAGGAUAUACCAUCGCACAAUUCGCCUCACGUGGGUCCCACGUGUUCUCCGAUGUAACGAUUCUUUUUUUUUUUUCUUUUCUUUUUUUUUUUUUGAAAAAUGUAGACUUUGUUUAUACAUAGGAAGAAUUUUUUUUUAUUCAUUUUUUUUCUUUUUUUCUUUUUUUUUUUGAGAAAUGUAGACUUUGUUUAUAUAUAUACGAAGGAUUCUUUUUUGGGAAAACUUCAAAAACCUCCCUUGUAGUUUCGUAGUUUCUCACUUUGCCUCCUUAUGAUUCCUCUUAUGAUUUAAAAUGUAUCAAUUUGCUUCCUGUGGUUUCUUUUUUCCCUUUUUCUUAUCAAUUUUAUUAUUUUUUUUCUUAAAUCAGUGAUAAAGGUAAAAUUAAAGGGUACUAAAGUAAAUAUUUGAUAAAUCUAGAUAGGUAUCUGAAGUUUUUUGUAUAUAACUUAAUAAAAUAUUAACGAAAAAGCUACCAAAAAAAUAAAAACGAAAUCACAUGGGGGCAAUUUGAUACAUUUUAAACUACAGUGGGGCAAAGUGAGAAACUACGAAACCACAGGGAGUUUUUUUUUGAAGUUUUUCCUUUUUUUUUUCUAUCUCGUGGCUCAUAUUUGUUUGCCUAUUUUAUUUUAUUUUUUUUUAAGAAAAUAUGUAUAUUUAAGAGUGUAAGAUUUAUAUCUUCAAAUGUGAUGUACAAAUAGUAUUAUUUUGUAAAAACUGACCGUCUCUAACGUAAGUGUCAAAAAAUUUAAUGAUUAGUAUUCGAAGUUCUAAUUUUGAACUUUAUAAUUAAUUUAUAUUUUUAGCUAAGUUUAUUUUUUAAAAAACAAAAAAAUAAGCUUGACUAGGAGAUUGGACAUUAGUGGUGCUUGUUAUUCCAAAAUUUAGGGCCCACGCACUAUCCCCACCUUACAGGUGGAAUUAUUUAUAGGCGUGCUAAUCACAAUCCAAGUCCCAACCAAAGUUCCUGACGACAAAGAGGCUAUUAAAGCCUACCGCAAGUUGGUAUUGAAACCCAUCUAAGGUUUCAUCUGUGAUUGCAAAAAAAUUGUGUUAUGUGCGGUAAAAUAGUACGAUAAAAAAAUAUUUUAUUUAUUUUUGUAUGUAAUAUUGCAUUUCGUAUAUCGCAAAGAGUCAGUUACGAUAUAUUUUUUUACAGUCCCACCGAAGAACAUAGAAAUAUAUUCCUAUAUAUUUUUAACCCAAUUUCAUUAUAUCUAAUAGCGUCAGAUAAACCUCAAUAUUAAACUAAGCGGAAUGGUAGUAUAUAGAAAUUUUUUUAUUUUUUAGUAAAAUCAUAAAAAAUUAUCUUAACAAACUCAUUGUGAUAUAUUUUUUUAGUGCCACCAAACAAGAGGGUAUAAAAGUACGCCGCAAGUCAGCACUGAAACCCAUUUAAUACGUGGAUAGGCAAGAGCAAAAUUAUAUAAAAAUAAUUUUUUUAUAUUUCAGUAACACCAUAAAAAAUUAUCUGAACUAACUCAUUGUGAUAUUUUUUAAUAGGACUUUUUUUUACAUUUAGCCCCCUGACAAAUUUUUAUUUUAAAAAUAAUCCUGUCAAAAUUUAAUUUGCAAAAAUAAUUCUGGACCUGCCACGCAGGCGCCACGUCAGCGCCACGCGGCGGCGGGGCCAGGGCAAUGUGUUAAGUUAAACACGGUGAACCAUUCACCGUAUCAUGGUGAAUAGUUCACCAUGUUUAUAUGUAUAUUUUGUAUGUUGAAAAGAAGAAUAUGGAGUAGGGAUGUCAAUAGGUAUGGAUAUCCGAAAUAUAUCCGAACCCAAACCCGAAUAAAUUAUAUAUAUAUAAUAUAUAUAUAUAUAUAUAUAUAUAUAUAUAUAUAUAUAUAUAUUAGUAUAUAUUCGGGUUUGGGUUCGGAUAAUAUUUCGGAUAUUCAUAUCUAUUGACAUCCCUACUCCUUAUUCAUUUUUUCAACAUAUAAAAUAUACGUAGUAAACACGGUGAAUGGUUCAUCGUGUUUAACUUAACAUAUUGGUUCUGGCCCCGGCCGUGUGGCGCUGACGUGGUGCCUGCGUGACAGGCGCAGGACAUUAAGAAGGCAAUUUUUAAAAUAAAAAUUUGCCAGGGGGCUAUAUGCAAAAAAAUCAUUUUCAAUAAAACACGGCGAGUCGGCAUUUAAACCUGUUUAAUACGGCUGGGCAAAACAGUUAGAACGAAAGUAUAUAAAAAUAAUUUUUUAUUUUUAGUAAGACCAUAAAAUAUUAUCAUAAUUUGCUCAUUGUGAUAUUUUUCAAUAACAUUAUUACGUACAAAAAAUAUAUAAGAUAUUUUUCCUAUUGUACAUUUUUAUCGCACAGAGUCUUCCAACAAAUCCAAACAAAGCCUUACAUUUCAAUCUCCGUUUUAAUCAUUGUUAUGUUCUUUAAUUCCCAGAAUGUCAAAAAAAAAUUCGAGAGAAAGAUAGCAAACUAAGUACUUCAUCCGCUUUUAAAAAUAGAGUACAUCUCUUAUACUUUCAAAAAUAUGGAGGUCUCUAUAUUUGUAAGUUUUUUUUAUGAUGGAGCAUUCAAUUCGGUAAUCAACUCCAUUAGGCAUGAUUUACGCUAUUAGAACUAUUUAGAAACCAAAUUUCAUCAGUUUUUGAUAUUAUCUAUCUAAGUGAUCAAAAAGUCUCAAAGAUGACUAUUUUAACGGCCGAUGUGAUAUGUUUGAAAGUUCAACCGUAUAUAAGAAUCCAAAUUACAUGAAACUUUACUAAAAAAUUUUACUUAACAUCAAGAGUAAGAACAAUACUUCCGAUUCAAAUUUUGAAUCUUUUAUCAUUAUUUUUUAUAAGAUUUUUAUCAUUUUGAGCCUACUUGUUCACUAUGGCAAAUAAAGUCAAAAAAAUUAUAAAAUUUGAUUUCUAAAUAGUUCCAAUAACGUAGAUCAUUUCUAACUGAACAGAUCGCCGAAUUGAAUGCUCUACCAUUGAAAACAACUUACAAGCAUGGAAACCUCCAUCUUUCGAAAGUAUAGGAGUCUAAUUCUUUAAAAAUGAACUUAGUAAGAAGGGUGAAACAACUAGAAUUCAAACUUACAACUUCGGUUAUCAACCACUAAGUCCUUUGUCAUGCGUGUAAAAGUUGGUCCGUAGUGUCUCUCAAUAUUAAAUGAACAAUCCAGGAGCGUCCAAUAAUUAUAAAAAACAAAAUAAAAAAAUAAAAAAGAAAUUCCCAGAGUUCCCAAUAAGUUUUUGAGAAAAAAAUGGCACCAACAUAUUUUCCAUAGAAAAGAGCCUCUGAAAAUGGGAUACACCUUCACUCUACAAAAUAUCUACACCUAAAGUCUCAGAACAGCCAAACAGGCCUCAAUCCCCACGGACCGGCGAACAAAAACCCCCCAUCUCGAACCCAAAAACCGGUGGAGUCAUGUUGCCGUUGUCGACUACUGAUGGGGGUAUAGCAUCACUCUUAGUUGCUCAUCCGGUCGCCAGCGCUUAUCACUCUUAUGGCUCAUGCAUCAUGUUGCAUCGAGAUGCGAUGGUCCGAAAAUCUUCUAGAUUUAGCUGCAAGAAACGAAUCGAAAGAAAGUUGAAGCAAGGGAGUAAGCAAACCAUUACUUCAUUUUGCAGAAAACAAACUAAAUGAUGUGGAAAUGAAUAUUGUCCUACUCUUAAAUGCUUAUAUGCCUGUUCCGAUGAGCCGUCAAAGCAACACUUUGCUCCGACAACAACAACUAAGCAAGCAUAAGCUUUAGGGCCCAGAAGCUUAUUCUAGAUUCCACCACCGAAAAAAAUAUUCAGAAUCUUUGUCUGUUAAAUAGCCAACUAUUUCUAAGAAACGAGCUCUAUAAGAAGCCCAAAAUUAUGCUACGAGGGUUAUUAACUGUACAUCUAUCAUGAAACCCAAUAAAAAUGUCCCGACUUCUUCAAGGAAGAUCGCAAAAAAUGUUAACAUUGUUUCAUGAGCUUAAACUCGAAGAUUCCAAAUCACAAAAGCAAAUUCAUUUUGUAUUCAUGUUUACCUUUCCUGCAGAAAAAUUUACAAAUCGACUAUCUUCCCUUAAAGCAGCUAUCAAGUUGUACACUACCUUUCUUGAAUAACCAAAAGCAUACCUUUCCGUCUCCGUCGGUGUCAAACAAGUGAACCAUAGCAGCUGUUUCACUAUCUGUCCAAGUAAAGUCAUGAGCUAAAGCCAUUCUUUGUAGAUCCCAGACUGAGAUAUGCCCUUUCCCAACUUCUGCACAUCAGGAUAUAUCGCAGUCAAGACAUCAAUUUCAGUAAAGAAGACAACAUUUUAUCUCCAAUCAACUUCUAUUCGUCCGACUAAAAAGCAAACAAAGAUGCAAAGGGAAAGAGCUGUCAAAAUGUAAAGGCAGCUUAAUAAUGGAUAGGGACUACAGGGAGAUAGAACCACGACAAUAGUAUUUUUAUUUUUACUCAUAAUCUUAUAUGAAAUUCUAAAGCAAUGAAAGAAGAACAUUCCGGAAGCCUACCACCUCAAAAAUUUAAUCCAAUAAUUAUGUGGAACAGAUAAAUUGGGAAGAUUCAAAACAAAUACAAUGCAAAGAUGAGAAGGCUCCAUGAUUUUCUUAUUUUAAUAUCAUAAUAUGUCAACACAAAGAUACAAAUGUUGCAAGUAUUUAGCAAGAAGGUCAUAUUACCUAGUGAAGGAAGAAUUGUGUGUUUGAACCAAGGAUUUAAGUGUUGUGAUAUAGGGUCAUGCCGAGAAGUUAUUGGUAUGGUACGGUAUGACGCGUGUCAUGCUGUGCCGACAUACUAUGAUAUGAAAUAUUUAAUUUCUUUGACACCAAUAUAUUUUAAUUGCUUAUCAUAUAUCUUUUUAUCAAAUCUUUUGUCAAUUCUUUUGUAAUUUAUUGAGAUAACUAUUUACUAAUUUCAAAGAAAGGGACUGUUGAGCCGUGUCAUUGGCACAGGGAUUGUAUCAUGCCGAUAUUUAGUCAGCAUAUUCGGCACGAUGGGCACGGUCCGCGUCGAUAGGCACUUAAAACCUUGGUUUGAACAGAGAAAGCAACUCCAAGUCCGAAAAAGAAAGGUAAAGCAAACGUAGUAUGCCCAUUUUCAUUAAAAAAUUUGAAAUACUUGACCAAUAGACAUGACUAUAUGGCGAUCGGUAAGCCCAUUGCUGCAUGAAAAAAGUGGGAAAACAAGCGUGUUUUCAAUAUUAACUAGUUUACAAGUACAAGUUUGAGUAAUGAACCAGGGAAGAAAAGGAGAAAUGAGAUAAUAGUAUUUUUUAUUUAAUUGCUAGCAUUAAAAAGAGAAUAACUACAAGAUUAUCAAAACCGUCAAGGUGACAUUCAAUUUUCACGACACAGGUGCAGAGUAAAGAUACCUUUAGUCUAGGAUUCCACCAAAAUGUUAAGUAACAAGUCCAACAAAAGUUUUAAGCACCGUUAUGGAAAAUUUGUCCACUUGGAGUAAGAUACAUUUUACUGGAGAAAAGAAAUUACCAUCAAAUAAAAAGAAGUAACCAAUCACUUCAUCUUCAGAGAGCUGUACCCUACUCUUAAACUGCACCAAUGAAAUAUUAUAUUGUAAAAGGGUAUUAGACAUGCAGGAGAUUUUAUAUAUGAUAUGAUAUGCACAGAAGAAUAUACCAGUUUUCUGUUCUUCCUUUUCCCACCAGUCUCACUUUCCUUUGUUCCAGAUUUCUGAGAAAGUACGCCAGACACAGCAGAAUUUUCAGCAACUCCUCCAAGCGAGAGAGCGAUCGCCUGGAAUAUGAACUUGUUUAUUAUUAUUCUGUGUGCACAUCUAGAGAGAGAGAGAGAGAGAGAGAGAGAGAGAGAGAGAGAUUGCAAAACAGAGGCAAUUCUUUAGUCGAUCACAUAUUUACCUGCUCUAAAGCUGCAUCCUCAUCAACAAAAUCAUCAGGCUUUUCAAUGUUUCCUUUGACACAUGAUCUCUUGCAACCUUUUUGUGAAUUUGAUAAAUUCUUUUUCUUUCUCUAAAAUACAGAGGAACAUAGUAAGUCAAGAUAAGUACUUGAUCUAAUUCUGAGACAAGCUCAACCAGGAUUCAAAUAGGAACUGACAUUUGCUACUCGUAGUACGAUAGAUACUUGAAUUGGAAUUGAGAGCUCGAGAAUCAAAAUAGUCAAGAAUUAGAAAAAUAUCCAAAAUAUAGUGCAUGAAAGACAUUCAAAUAUCAAACCUUCACUACGUACUUACAUCUGAUCGAAUACAUGAACUAGUAAUAGACCCCAACACUUUUUAAAUUACUCUUACAAUAAAAAGUCCACAAAGCACUACUACGAUAGCAUGAAAUUUGACAAAAUGACAGGAAAUUCUUAAUUUAUUGAUAUAUGAAGGAUUGCCACGCCGGCCCAUACCAGUCCAGUACCAGCGAAUGAUAUUAGUGAUAAAUUACUGAUAAAUAAUGGGAAAAUUUUUAAGAUUUGCCCAUUGCAGCCAACAUUCAUUUCCUUCAUGCUAAAAUUUUACCAAAAUUAAAGGUUGAUUUAGGAAAAUUUGGUUUUUCACAAACUUUUGAUUAGAUUUUCUAUCGUCAUAAGCAGAAGAAAAUUUGUCUUUUAUUCAUGUUUCACUCAAUAAAUGUAGAAAAACUCAUUUGUUCAUCACCCAUGCAGCUAGCCAUUGCGUUCUUUCUCUUGCAUAACCAAUUAUCUUGUAACUCGUUGGAAUCCAAGUCAAAAAUGGAAUCUUCCUCAGUGCGACACUAAAACCCCAACUAGGCCUUACGAAUAAAGAAGGACCAUUUGAAUACGAGCCGUGUGUUGGCUUAAAUGGGCCAGCAUCCUGCCCUGUGGCGGGAGGUCACGUUGGGCCGAGUCAUGUUCGAAAUGGCGUGAGGCUGGGUGGACCGAGUCAUGUUUGAAGUGGCGUGAGGCUGGGUGGGCCGAGUCACAAUCGAAACCCGUGGGCACUGUAUCUGUACGCUUUAAGUGAAUUGGUUGCGUAUUUCUAACGGCUCGAGCUUUUGGGAUUAAUGGUUGACACCAACGAUCCGACACCAUGAUCUUAGGGCUUGUUAGGCCUCACUUUCUGCUACUUUCAGCAACAGUAAACUCUCCUACUGCGCACUUCACCAAGAGAAAAUUUUAUAGCUUCAGUUGCAUGUAUAGCAGAAAUGCGAUUCUAAGCCACAAAAGUAGAACCUCCAAUUUGGCGCUUCAAAUUGUGCUACGGAAAGCUGCUGGGGGAUAAAUUGAUAUAGUAUUCCUCCUAAUGGCAAUACUCGAAAAACACUACUUUAUCAAGCAACACUGCACCCACCCUAAAGCAGGCAACACUGCACCCUAAAGCAGGCCCAAACAAAGCCUAAACCUCAAAAGCAAAGCAUCAAUUUUGUGCUACUUAACAUUGCGCUUCUUCUAACACUAACUAUUCAAGACAACACUUCAUCAAUCAAACAACAACAGUACAACUCGAGAGCAGGGCCAAACAGGCUUUUCGGCGGCGUAAAUUGCUAGAACAUGAUUUUCCUUAUCCAUCAUAUCAAACCACAAUGCAAUAUCUUAGACAUCAACGGAAACAUCAACGAAAAGUACCUUUCUUUUGGAUCCACGAGAAGAACCCCCAACCUCUUCCUCCUCCUCCUCCUCCUCCUCCUCUUCACCAGCCGAGUAAGAAGAAGAAGAAGAAGAAGAAGAACAAGAGCCAUCCCUACCUUCCACUUCAUCAUCGUCAUCACCACCGUGAUCACCAUGGGAGGGUCGGUAUUCUUCGUCGUCGUCUUCGUCGCUAUCUCCACCGCUCCUCCUCCUCUUCUCCCGUUGCUGCUUCGUCGAGGGCGAGGAGGGUCGAGCCCUCCGGAGACGAGGAGCCCUCGCCAUCGCCCAUUUUUGUAGCGAAUGUACGAAGAUCCCUCAACUAUAGCUUUUUUUGGAUGCAANGAAGAAGAAGAAGAAGAACAAGAGCCAUCCCUACCUUCCACUUCAUCAUCGUCAUCACCACCGUGAUCACCAUGGGAGGGUCGGUAUUCUUCGUCGUCUUAUCUGCCACAGCCUCCGCCGCUCGUACUCCGUUAUCCCCCCGCCGCCGCCGCCGCCGCCGCCGUGGGUCGAGCCCUCCGGAGACGAGGAGCCCUCGCCAUCGCCCAUUUUUGUAGCGAAUGUACGAAGAUCCCUCAACUAUAGCUUUUUUUGGAUGCAAUUGCAAAUAGAAAAUAAUUUGGUUAAUUUCAUGUCGGUCCCUGCAAAUACAGUGAAUACCAAAUAUAUCUCUAUAAAGUUUAAUUUUUACAUGUUGUUUCUGUAAAAAUCAUAAUAUUUUUAAAUAUAUCCAUACGGUUGGAAUCCGUUAGAAAAAUUUAGUCAACCAUAGAUUAAAUACUUAACAUGAUUAGUUUUUGACAUUUUUACCCCUCUAAUAUUAUGCUAUUAUGAUUUCUGGAGAAAUAUAUUUGUAAUAGAAAAAUUAAAAAUAUAAUCAGUUCUCUAACGAUUCUCUAACGAAGUAGAAAACCAAAGAAACAUAUUUAAAAACAUAGGACUUUUACAGGAACAAUAUAUAAAAGUUGAACUUUAUAUGAAUAUAUUUGUCAUUAACUAUAUUUAUAAAGACAUGUAUGAAAUUAAUCUUUACAAAUAAUUUAUUGCACUGUUGAAAAGUGCAUUUGUAAAAUUUUAUUAGUCUAUAUAUAGAGCAAUGAGAUUAUUCCUAAUAUAUAUAAAAAAGAAAAUAUUGCUUAAAAGAUUUUUUUUUUUUUAGAAAUAAAUAACACGCUAACCGCUUUAUUUUAUUUCAUUUAGAAAUAAACUUAACUAAAAAUAUGAAUUAAGUAAGAUAUGCUUACCUAUUAUUCAAAACUGCUAUCUUCAAUUGUUGCAUGUGGGACUUCGUUGAACGAACCGAACUCCUUCGUAUACGUGAGGAGUCCAUUGAUUCAAAGGGGCUGGAAAAGUUUCAACCCAAUGACUAUAAGCGCAAUUAAAAUUCUUCGGUAAAAUUGCUACUUAUUUUUAAGGUGUAGAUCUAAUUAUACCAGUUAGAUUUUCUUAUGCAAUUCUAACUGUAGCACUUUAAUUCAAAUGAAUCAAGCCGCAUAACGAAUCUGAUUUUGUAUGUAGUUAUUAUUGUAAUAUAGUUAUAACUACAUGCAGCCAGCCAAAUAGCUCCUAGAACGCGUUUUGUUUAAGUUAUGUAAUAUUACAGAGUAUUUCGAUAUAUCCAGAUAUCUUGAAUUUCUAAAAGAGAUUACUAAUUAUGCUACAUUAGCGCGUUUGGUUUAAUACAGUAAUAUAAUGCUGAAUUGCAGUGUUUAUAGCAUUAAUAUGUUUGGUUCUGUAUAUAAAAUUUUAAAUUUUAAAUUUUAAAUUUAAAAAUUAAAAUUUUAAAAUUAAAUUUUAAAAUCUAAAAUUUAAAUUCAAAUUUAAAAUUUUGAAGUUUAAAAAUUUAAAAUUUAAAGUUUAAAAAUUUAAAAUGUAAAAGUUGACAAUUCAAAAUUUUAAAUUAAAUUUUUUAAAAUGACGUAUUGAAAGGGUUUCAGAAGUUAGAGUGGUAAAAUUGUCAUUUUACAUAAUAUGUAGUAUUACCGGUUUUCAGUAAUGCAAGAUACACGGCCCCCCUCUCGUUAAUAUUUUCGAUGUAAUCGAUUUGUAAUGCUAUAUUAACACCGAUUUAUAAUGCUAUAUUAACGACUAGAUUACAUAGCGGAUGAACCAAACACAGUAAUCCUGACAGAAUUGCCUGUAAUCCUGCGAAGAUAACUCGAGCCAAACGCGCCCCUAAUGGUAUUUGUUUCCCCAAAAAUACAGAGGUUAUUUUUUUUUUACCAUAAAUUAAAUUCACUCAUAUUUUUAAAUUUUAAAAAUAUAAAAUUAUAAAAUAAUAAGUAUUAUGAUUUUUAAAAAAUUUUAUAUGACAAUAUAAAAUUUUUUAGUAAAUAAUAGAAGAAAAGAAUAACUCCAAUUAUAAAAUUAUUAACUUUCUAUCAACCAAACAAUGUGGAAAAUUAAUAUUACAUAAAUUUCAGUUCAAUUAAAAUUUAUUCUUAAAGAAAAAUUAAUCAAGAACAAACAAAAAGAUCCUAUACUUGUAAGUUCUCUUAACAACGGUUGUUAUAUCAGCAAAUAAUUUCCAUUCGAUUUAACAAGCACUUAACAAAAAAAUACAAUAAAAUGAAGAGUAAAAAUUGAAGGCUAGAUUAUAAAAUGCUCACUUGCAGUUUAACGUUUGUCUCAAUUAUCUCCGUGCAUAAAAAAUUACAUCAAUUAUCUCUACACAUUUUGUCAUUAUUUCAAAUAGAUCCAAUUAUUUGGAAUAAUGCUGAAUUAAGCUAUAAAAUUUUUUAAAAAAUAAGUUUAACUGAUAAAGUUACUUAUAAAUAAUGCAAUAGAAUGGCUUAAAUUAAAUAAAUUGCACAAUUAACUAUUAAUUUUAGUAGUAUUAACAAACUAGGAGAUCUCUUUUAUCCAAGUUUUUAAGUUGCAAAUUGGAUACAUGUUGAGAUGUGGAACAACUUGUUAUGUCAACUAGUUUUAGUGAAAUUUAGUAGCCUAAUUUUCUAAACUACCAAUUUUUUGAGAUUUAUUUAAGAUAAUAAUAAAAUGAAGUGUAGUAAUUAAUUUAAUUUUUAAUGUAGAAUAGUAAUUAAUACUAGAGCUAAUGUGUAAGGAUUUUUUUUAUAAUUUAGCCAAAAAUUAAAGAUACAUGCUACUUGUACAUGUAUCUUCGGACGUAGAUUUUGUUGGAAGCGUGAUUUUCUNAAUGAAGUGUAGUAAUUAAUUUAAUUUUUAAUGUAGAAUAGUAAUUAAUACUAGAGCUAAUGUGUAAGGAUUUUUUUUAUAAUUUAGCCAAAAAUUAAAGAUAGGUAAGCACGCCACCCGCUUCGUUUAUUUCAUUUAGAAAUAAACUUAGUUGGAAAUGUGAAUCAAUUAGGAUUCGAACUUGGGUCUCAGGUAUCAACCACCAAGUCCUUUGCCACUUGCUCUAGGGACGGUCGGUCUCUGAUACCAAUUGUUGGAAUCGGUAUUUGUGUUGAUACUGAUUAUGUAACAUAAAAUCUAAUAAUAAAACAAAAUAAUAUAGAAAAAAGAUAUUAGAGAGGGAAGAAAAUUACUAAAUUAAUACUUUAUUAAUAAAAGAAUUUAAUUACACUGUGGAUGAUACCUAUGAAGCAAUGUCUACUGUGACUUAUUUAUCUAAUUAACUUAUACCUAACUAUAUAUAUAGCUAUCAAGUUAUAACAGAUGAUAAAUUUAAUUUUUAUUUUGGAUAGUUACAAAUGUUACUCUAAUUAUAUAAACUUUUAAAUAUAAUCAAUGUAUAAUUUAAAUAUAUUUUAUCUCUAAUUAAAUUUGGAUUACUAUUCCAACAGAUCUCUAGUUGUUACAUUCAAAAUUAAGAGUCUGAUCUCAAAGACUGAAGGGCCAGGAGUAAUAAAAUUAACAAAAUGAAUGAAGGUGGAGAAAUAAGGGUGCAACUAUCUAUUUUCUUUUCUCUAAUUUCAAAAAUAUUUUCAAUUUUGUUUUACAACAGAGAUUCCACGGAAUGGAGAAAGUGUGUAUGAUGUUGGCUUGUGAAGUGCUUACUUCCUUUUGAUGGAGAAAAUAAAAGAGAAAAUAAAAGAGAAAAUAAAAAAAAAGGUUUUUUUUUUGUAUUUAUUCCCCUCUUAAUUUUUUUCAUAAAUAGUCUUAUAAAAUUUAUAAUAUCCUAUUCCCGCCACGCAAGCGUCAUAUAAACGUCAUGUCAAUUACUGUAAAGGGUUAAGUUAAACACGGUAAAUCAUUCACCGUAUUUAGACGGGCUAAACAGUAGACAAGCUCCACAGUGCAAAGAACUCAAAUGGUCCCACAAUGCAGUUUAGCUUAAACAUAGUAAAUCAUUCAUUGUGUUUUUAAACACGGUGAAUGGUUCACCGUAUUUAACUUAUACCAACCAGCCGCUGACGUGGCGCUUACAUGAUAGGGAUAGGGCUAAUUUUGCAAUUAGAAAUUUCGUAAGAUUAUUUAUGAAAAUAAAUUUAUGAGAAAGUUAAAUGUAAAAAAGCCCUAAAAAAUGUAUUUUUUUUCCUAUUAUUUGGAUCAUCAAAAAAAGAUCAGAGAGAGAGAGAGAGAAAAUAAUUUUCUAUUACACUCUAUCUACUUUUGGUUAGAAAGAAGUUGGCCCAAAUCUUAAUUGGCCCAAAUCACGCUGGGCCCAAAUGUUGUUUAGAUAGAACUAUAAAUUUAGUACCUCACUUGGCUUCAAUUUCAUUCUUGUAAGUUUUAUUACAAAUUUAAAGUUAAAUUUCAAUUUUGUUCCUUGAAUUUAGCCAAUACUUUCUUAUUAAUUUUCAUACAUUUAAUAGGGUAAAUUAAAAAAUUUUAUCCAAGUUUCAGUGACGAUCUUAACCAAUUAAGCGUGCUAAGACGACUAAAACUCUUAAGCCGACUUAAGUAUUUUAGACUAUAACUAGGUCCAAAAAAUUAAAAGAGUUAAGCGUGUUAGGACGGGAGUAUUUUGCCAUCUGAGUUGUGCCUACAGGUUGCAAAAAGAAAAAAGAAAAAAAAAAAGAAAAAGUGAGAGCUCCACUCAAAAAGAAUGAGGUGUUAGUUCCACCUUUGCAAAAUGGAUGCUUUGUCGCUUGAUUUGACGAUCAAAUAAAACAUUUAAUUAAAGAGUAAAUUGUAUCAAUAGCAUGUGAACUUUUACAAAACUUUCACUAUUAUUCGUAAAAAGCACUAAAAAUUACUUUUUGGCCGUAAAAUUAUUUUUUAAAAUAUUAUUUCUACAAACUUAAAGAAAAUGAAGUGUUUUCUUUUUUUGCCGACUUUUGGCAAAAAAAUAAAAAUUCAAGCUGCCUAAAAUUUUUUUCAUUCAAUUUUUUUUCUACCAAACCAAACAAAUAUAAUUUUUUUUUUUUCAACCAAACAAAUGUUGAUGAAAAAUUAUGUUUUUUUCUAUAAACCAAACACUACAAAAUAUAAAACUUUUUUACGUAAAACCAAACACCCUCUUACAGUUAAUAAACCAAGUCAUAGAGUUGAGACAUAAAAGGGUCCAACAUCUUUUAUUUUUAGAAAAAUAAACUUAAUGUUCCAUAAAUUUUGCUACAAAUGUAGUUGUUUUGAGGUAACUAAGUUUACUUAAGGCAAAAUUGAUAUGAUCUUUGCUAGACUUCACUUAAUUAUGACUUUGAUUAACCACUACUAUCAAUCAUUAACAGUUUCUUAUCAUAUUUUUUUGUCAUAAAUAGUUUUAUUCUUAAAGUCAACAAAAGUACUUAUUAGAAAUUUUAUUAGUAUAAUAAUAAAAAUUAUUAGAAACAAUGUGAAUAGUAGAUCUUUCUCAUGGGUAGCACAAGGCAAUGAAACACCUACUUUGGAGUAGUUGAGCAGAAAAUAUCAAAUUAUGGUGGUUGAGCUGUUUACCUCCACUAUCAUUUUUGUUUACUUAAUAUGCCACACAAAAGGAUAUUGUAACAUUUAGGAGUGUCAAUAAGUACGGAUACUUGAAAUUUUAUUCAAAUCUGAAUUCGAACGGAGCGGAUCUACUGAAUGCUAAAUGGAUAGGAUUCAAAUAUAGAAAUCAAAAAACAAAAACUCAACGGAUAUGAAUUUUGAUUGUACCCGACUCGAACCUGAAUUUAUCUUAUAUUAUAUAUACUAUGUAUAUAAAAAUUUGAUGUUAUAUUUAAAUUUGUAUUUUAAAACUUUAAAUUUAAUAUUAUAUAUUUUAAAAUAUUGAAAAGAGAAAUAAUUAUUUCGGGUUUAGAAUUUCAGGUUCGGAUUCGGAUUCAGGUUCAGGUUCGGGUUUCGAAUUUUUGGUCGGGUUAAGAUUUGAAUAUGAAUUUUUAAAAUCCGUCGGGUUCGAAUUCGGGUUCAGGUUCAGGUUUCUAGUUUGGAGUCGGGUUCGGGUUCGGGUUUGGGGUUUGGAAAAUCCGCCCGAAUCCGACUGGUUGACAUCCCUAGUAACAUUACAAUUCAUUUUUAUGUUCAACUCACUUAUUUUACUUGAUUGGGUAUCAUAUUAAUAAGAAGGGAUAGUUAUAUAUGGUUUUCUAUAAAAAUAUCAAAUAACAAAAUAUUUUUAUAAAAUUUAAGUUAUCAUAUUUAUCUCUCCAAAAGUCCAUUCGUCUGCAAAUAUAUUCUUUCCUUAUCAAAAUUUAGAUAACAUGAGUUAAAAAAAACUAACCACAACUAGCUAAGAAAUAAAAUAACAUUUUAACCUCUUAUAUAUAUAUGUAUAGAGAGAGAGAGAGAGAGAGAGAGAGAGAGAGUAGGUCUUGUGUGCUAUUAGGAGCACGGAGACGGAGGUCUCCGUGCUCCUAAGCCAUUUUCGAUCAUGGAGCUUUCGAAUCGACGAUCGGCUCCAUUAGACUUGAUCUAGCGUAUUUGAAGUACCUAAAAAAUAAAUUUUGCGAUUUUUCGAUAUCAUUUACCUAGCGAUCAAAAGGGUUCAAAAUCAACGGCCGAAAAUAAAAAUCUCAAAAAAAGUGGUUAUAUAGCACUAAAAUUUUCUAUCAGAGAUAUUGAUCUUACUGUAAAUAAUAUAAAAAAUUUUCUAUCAAAAUUUUAUCUGAUUUGAAUACUUCUACACCGUUAAACUUGCAAAUGGUAUACAUUAACCAUUAAAAAUUGUUGAUUUUGAACCCUUUUGAUCUCUAGGUAAAUAAUAUCAAAAAAUCACAAAAUUUAUUUUUUAGAUAUUUCAAAUAUGCUAGAUCAAAUCUAACAGAGCUGAUCAUCGAUUUGAAAACUCCAUCAUCAAAAACGGCUUAGGAGCACGGAGGUCUCCAUACUCCUAAUAGCACACAAGACCUACUAUAUAUAUAUAUUUGUAUUCUAAUAUUGAGUACUGUCAUCUUUCUCACCUUUCUUUUUUAUCUAUAGCAACAGUGAGACCUACGGCACUCGAUAGCAAUACGGCAAAGACGAGGAGAGAGAAAAAGAGACAGCUUUUUGUAAGGGCAAAUUUAUAGAGACAAUAGUCAUUAUAUAUACCCAAUGUUUCAAUUAGGUAAUGAACUUAGCUACACAGUGAGGCAACCAGGCCUCUAGGAAGAAAUAAAAAGAAGAUACGAAGAGGAACUCAAAAAUGGAAAAGAAAAAGGUGAAAAGGGGAAAGAGUACAGCUCCUCCACAACACCUUAGAGGAACCGAAAAGAGUGAACACACCGUCGGGGAUUCGUGGAAGGUCUUAUAAAACUCGAAUUUGGGUAGACUGAUCCCGAGCCAAACGGACGUCCACUAACAUUUGAUUAUGUGAGUGCUUUUUCUUUUGAAAAAUUCGCCUAUUUCAUUCAAGCCAAGUUAUCCACCAAGUGCAUGCUAUUAUCGCAAGUUCCUUCGACCUAAUUGAGCCCGCUCUAGUUCGGCUCGAUUCCCAAAGCGUAUAAGUUGAAGAUGUGCAGUGUAUACCCUUCUUAUUGAACAUCACGCACUCCAACAAACUUUUGGUCACGUCACACCCGGCGAAAGGAUGAUCGAUUGUCUCUUUCUUAUCUAAGCAUAGGACACAGUUCUGCUCUCCAAUCCAUCCCCUUUUGCAAAGGUUGUUUUAUAUACCCAAUGUUAAAAACACGAACGGCGAAUCAAAGACAGAGACAUGCAUGUAUGAAUAAAUCAAAAUUUUUGGAGAAAUAUAUUUACAAAUCAAAAAAAUUUUUAAAAAAAUAGAUCUGAUCAAGUGUUGUAAAAAUUUAUCUGUUAUUUAAUAGUUUUACAGAGACCUAUUUGAAAGAGGUGCCAAGAUGCAGUACAGAGUUAAUUAAUGUGGACCAACAAAAGGUGGUUGAAACGUCCAAACUUGUCCAAGUAUGGUCUUAAAACAACAAAGAGUGGUUCAGAGAAGGAAAAAUUCUCACAACAGUGAAUCAUGUGAGCUGAUUCUUAAAAGAAAAAGGAAAAAAAACAUAAAACAUAGAAAAAAGAGUCAGAUUCAGCAGAUAUAAUUGUUAUGGACAGAUGCGUACUUAAGUCUCUUAUAGUUGGUAGAAUCUUGCAACUAACGCUUUGCCUGCCAAAUGGAUAUGGUUCAAAGAAGUAAUUAAGAGAGAACACAACUGCAAAAAUUAUCGCGUAGACUCUCAGAGAACGAUAUUUUAAUAUUUUAUAUUUAGUAUUUCUUUCUGAGUCUGAAAUUAGUUAUUCAAUAGGUUAGAACGUGAACUCAAGCUAAAUCAAGAAAAAUCAAAUAAAACUAAAAGCUCGGUGAGAUUCGAAUUUGAUCUAAGAAUCUCUUGUCCUAAUAUAUAUCAUCUGAAAAUAAUCGAUUACUCUAAAAUAGUGUUUUAGUACUUCAUAUUCAGUUUGGUAAAAUUUAAAUUCGAACUCAAAAUUUCUUACUCUGAUAUCAUGUGAAACAACUAAACAAUCUAAAAGCAUAAAACUAUUAGAAAGCAGUGUUAAAACAAUAAUUCGUAGAUUUAAUGAAGUUGCAAUUUAAUGAAUGGUCAUAGAAAUGGACAAGAGGGAUCAACUACGCAAUUGAUAACUGAGUAUGGUAGGCCAGGUCCAAGCAACCAUUUCUCAUCAUAAAUCCAUCAACAAUGUAUUUUUAAUUGUUGCAGUAGAUCAGGGGAAGAUGAAUCUAUUUGUCAAAUCUCACGAGCCAUGGCAAAAUAAUAUAAGAGCCAAAUAUAUAUAAACAACUCAAAACAACACAUCAGGAAUCUUUUUCUUUUUCUUUUUCUUUAUUUUUUUUUUUUCCUCUUCCUCUUCUCGAGACCUUGGUUGUCUCAUCUCUGUAGCCUAAUUCAUUUAUUCAAUAAAUGAAGCAGAUAGCGUGCUACCUAUUCUCAAAAAAAAAAAAAAAAAAAAAAAAAAAAAAAAAAAAACACAUCAGGUACAGCUUGGCUCCAAGACAACUCACUUAGGAUAGAGAUGUCAAAUAUUAAAAGGAAAAAAAAAAAAAGGAAAAGAAAAGAAGGGUGGGGACAAUGAGUAAAACUAAAGGAAAAGGGAGGGCCUACAAUGCCUGCAAAAUUUAAUUACAUUGAAGUCCAAUAUUAUCAAUUUAAUAUUGCAUACAUUUUGGGGCCCGGUCCCUUAAUGUAGAAACUUUUAUGAAUCUUUUUUUUUUUUUUUAACAUGUAAAUUGUUUACAAUAUGCAUGUAGGUAAUUCCAUUCGCAUAUUUUUAUUUUCGCUUUUUUGGGUGGUUAAGAUAAUCCAUGCAUUUACACCUUUUUGGUAUUGUAAUUUUAUUACAAAAAUAACAAGUUAUAGAAACACACUUUAUCCUGUAGUUUGUAAAAAGUAUUACUUUGCUACCAUGUUUUGAGCAGAUACUUUCAAUGGCACAAAAAUAAACUUAUAGAAUAAUUAAGUAUAAUUUUUUAAAAAAAUUAGAGAGUGACAAAGUAAAAAAUGUGCUAUACUACAAGAGGGCAAAUUGAAGUUUACCCCUAGUCGGUGAAUUGCGUAUAAAGUGAUUCAAAUGGAUUCCACAAGGAGAAUUUAUACCAUUAUAGUUUUUGGAAAGCAAUACGUUGGAAGCGAAAAGUCAGAGAACGAGGAACUUGUGAGUCUGGCGAACUCAACUUCGCCUCCCCAUCCCAUCAAAAGUCAAUAGGCCGAUUCUUCGUAUAAUUGUGGGUGCAUGGGAGCUCGAAUGAUAUUGCAAUUUUAGUGUCAAAAUAAAUAUUGUCAUUGACGAUUUUCUUAAAGUCACGAGCUAGGGCAUACAUAGUCACAGGUCUGCUGAACCGAACCGACCAAUUAGACAAGAACACCGUGAAAUAUAUACCGUCGAUUCGUGCUUAGGAUUAGUUCGGAAAUACAUUGUACAAAUGUAUCCGUUUUAGGCUCAAUUCUUGGGAUUAUACGCAGAAUUAAUGCAUUACAUGCAGUAAAAAUUAAAGUAUGAUGGUAAAAUACUCCGUUUAUUUUUGUGAAUGAUAUCCAACACAAGUUGCAGUGAUUUAGUUCAAACAUAAUUUCUAUUCUCCCACCGAAAAAUAGCUUAAAAUAUAUCUCUAUAUACUUCUAUCCCAAUUUCCUUUGGCUUAAUAAGAAGCAACAGUAAUGUUUUCCAUAACUACUGCAAAGCAUCAUAAGAAGGAAGUUUCAAAGCCCUUACAAAUAUUUUAUGGCUGAUGAAAUAUCAAAAUGGGCUCCUUUGUUAACGCAUUUUCAAAUUAGCCCUUAAGGUAUCGUUUGGUUCGGGAAUAAGCAAAAAGUGGAUAUUCCAGAGAUAGAUAUAAAUUAAGGUAUAAGCGGGGAUUAGAUGAAUUUUGCGUUUGGAUGAAAAUUGAGUAUUCCCGAGAAUAAGAAAAAUAGCGUUUGGUUACCUAAGAUGGGAUAAGAAUUAAAGUGAGUAUUUAUAAAUAAAAAAUAAUGAUAUUAUUUUUUUCUUUAUAUUAGAAUUUAAAUUUUUAUAUUUUAUAUUUAUAUUUUAAAAUUUAAAAUAUAAACUUUUAAAGUUUAAAAAUUAAAAUUAAAAUUUAAAAUUUUAAAAUCUCAAAUUUAUAAUUUUAAAAAAUUAAUUUUUAAAAUUUUGAACUUUAUCUGCAAACAACAAAAUCAACUAAAUAUAUUACUUCCUACUUCAUCUGCAAACAACAAAAUCAACUAAAAUGCAAUAUGUAUUCUCGAAGAUGUUGUUUAUGUACUCUAAUUAAGUGGACCACAAAAAACAUUGGAUCCUAUGAAAUUAGAUAAAAGUUCCCAAGUUCCAAUUACAUUAAACUUUCACUUCUAAAUGUAAAACCCACUGAACUAUGACAUAGUUGUAUAUUGCCACUUGAAUUUUAACUAUUACAAUUUAUUGCAUGAUAUAUAUAAAUUUGUUGCGUCAUAUAUACAUGCACAUAUAUGUCACACUCUCGUGAAAUUUAGUAAAAUCACUCUUUAUGUACAAGAAACAUUUAAAGAUUGAAAGUUGCACGAUAAUUUAUUAUUAUGCUAGUACGUGCUAAGGAUCCGCACAUAAAAUAAUAACUACAGGAAUUAAUGAUUGAUGUAAAUUAUUGGACCCAUAGAGGCCUAUAUAAGGUUUAGCUUAUUAAUGAUGCGGAUUAUGCGUACAAGCUCGAAUAAGUGGGUUCGCGGUAACUCGAAAGUUUGUUUGUUUCGUCGAAAGUAAAAUUAUGAGCUAAAGUUUGCAUAAAAAUCACUCAUCUUUUACUAUUCAUUUGUAUAGAUACGAAACUAAAAGUUUUUUUGUUUUAUUAUUUGUUUCGCAGCACUGGAUAACAUAAAAAUUUAGAGAUGGAAAAAAUAAAAUAAUAUUUUAUUUAUUUUUUAUUUACUUUUUGUAAUUGACUUUGAUUUUAGGGUUAAUCGUGUACAUAUCCCUAUAAAUAUAUUGAAUUGCAAAUAUAUAUAUCUCUAUAAAAUUCAGCUUUCAUAUGUUGUCCCUGCAAAAAUUCUAGUAUUUUCAAAUAUAUCCCUACCGUUAGGAUCCGUUUUUAUCGCUCUUCAAUUAACGUGGGACUUUUAGAAUGAUAUAUUUGUGAUGGUAAAAAUGUCAUUUCACUUAUAAAAUAAGCAGUGCUUUAAACAGUAAGAAAUCAGAGAAAUAUAUUUAAAAACAUUAUAACUUUUAUAGGAAUAAUAUAAAAAAGUUGAACUCUAUAAAAAUAUAUUUAUAAUUUACUAUAUUUGUAGGAAUCUGUAUAAAAUUGACUCUCAAUUUCAAGGGAAUUGUAACUCAAUUACACUAUUUCAAAAAAUUUGAAGCUUGAGUUUUUAACCGCAGACGAAAAAUAAAAAAGAAUCAAACAACGCAGAAAAAAUCACUUCAUUCUGCAGUACUUUUCCGUGAAACAAGCAGAGGAUGAUGACAGAAGAUCGAAAAUGACUCGAUAUAAUGCUUCCGAGACUAAAACAGUAAUAGUAGCAAUAAUAAUAAUAAUAAUAAUAAUAAUGACUAGUUUAAAUGGGAGAAAGUGAAAUGCUCCAAAUUUUCACAGUUCCGUGUGGGGAUUUAUGAUCUGAUGAUCCAGCUUUUAAAAAAGGGGGAAAAAAGAAAAAAAAUGAAGCGUCGUUUUCUGCACGGAAAGAAAAAUGAAGCUGUGCUGUCGUUUGGUUGCUGCAGGACGAGUGCCCCACCCACUUUCUCCCUCCAGAGUCCAGACUUCCACCUACCAGCAUAAUUUUCUUUCCUGGUACUACAAAAGCCUGCCGAAUCCGCCCUCUUUGUUUGCCUCAAAAUCCGUUUGCCUCAAAAUCCGCUCCCACCUCUUUCUCUUUUUCUCUGUUAUACGUACUCGUGCUUUCUUUUUUUUCUUCUGCUGUCGAUAUAUAUAAAUACUCUCUCUAUCGUUUCUUUUUUUGCUGUGGAUAUAUAUAAAUAUAUAUAUAUAUAUAUAUAAAUUCGGGUGCGAGAGAGAGGAGAGAUUGAGAGAGGCGGAGAUGGCGGAGGAGGAGACGAAGAAGGUGGAGGUGGAGGCGUCGCCGGAGGAGAAGGAGGUGAUUCCGGCGCCGGCUCCACCGCCGGCACCGUCGCCGGAGGAGGAGAAGCCCGGCGGCAAAUCGAAGGCCCUCGACAUCGUCGAGAGUGAGAACUCUCUCUCUCUCUCUCUCUCUCUCUCUCUCUCUCACUCGUAUUAACUAUCAUUCAUUUUGAUUUGACUAGCUAACUUUUAAAUAUUUUUAUUUUAUUAUCUAAGAUUUAUUUAAACUCCCCCUAUGCUCUUUCUCUGUUAUUAACUAUUACCCGUUUUGAUCUGACUAGCUAAUUUUUAAAAUUUUAGAGACUUUUACUUAUUUACCACUAGUUACGCUUUAGAAUUUUCAAAUUUAUCCUUCAACAAACCCUAUAAAAAAUAGAGAUACUUUAAGAAAAUUUGGAGAAAUAGAUAUAUAUUUGAAGUUUUGAAGGAUAUAUUAAAUAUUAUUUUUUUAAAAAAAUUUAAUUUUACUAUUUAACUUUUAAAUUUAUUUACUUUGAGCAAGUUAAUUACUGUUUAAUUUUAAAAUAUCAAUGCGUCGUUUAUUUAUUUUUACAUGACUACAAAUUCGUUAAAGUGACCAGAUAGUUUAAAUUUUGUAUGGAAAGAACCGCCAAAUGACUAAAAUUAAAUAAACUGAAAGAUUGGAUACUGUAAGCAAAAUUUUGAAAGAUUAGAUAGUCGAAUCUAAAUAGUCUAUAAUUUAGGUAAAUUUUAUACAUUUUUACUUUUAAUUGAUUGUUUAGGUGUUUGUUUCUAAAAGUUUUGAGGGGAUAUUUGGUCUCAUGUAACAAAAUUUUAAGCCUAAUUAUGAACCAUAUUCUACUAUCGAUUGAUCUUUUGGGUAAUACGAUAUCAUCUUUAGGUUAACAAAAAUAUACAAAAUAGUUUUUAAAUAUAUUAUGGAAAGAAAAAAAAUCAGUUUAUUAGUGUUCUUCUUGGUAUAAAACAAAAAUACUUUUUCAAAGAAUAUGAGUUUGAUUUUAAUAAACUAAAAUAAUGUGAGUAAAAGAGAGUGAGAGGACAGAGGUAUAUCUAAUUUUCAGUUUGUUUCUUCUACUAAAAAAAUUGAAAAAUAAAAACAGGUUGUUUUUCUAAAUAUGUUUAAUUUGUUAAAUAUAAAAAUAUUUAAAUACCGUUCUUUACAGGCUUAAAUUUUUAGAAAAUAACGGUUGUUUCAUAUUAUUUUAACACAAUUCUCUUCAUUAAUUACUAUAUAUUCUACGUGAAACCAAAUAUGUGAUAACAUCUUUUCGACUCGUAAAUUAUUUUCUAACUUAUUUUGAGUAUAAUUAUAUUUAGAAUACACGAUGUUUUAAUAUUUUAUAUUUACUACUCUUAUGUUAUGAAGUAGCUUUUGGGCUUCUUAUAGACUUAAGAGGUUUUAGGGUGAAAGUUUGAACAAAUUGGAAAAUAAGUUACCUUUUUUUUUUCUUUUUUUGUAGUAAUAUUAAAUCUAUAAUGAAUUUUGAAAAGUGGUUUAACCUCUCUCUCUCUCUCUCUCUCUCUCUCCAAGAGAAAGUGCUUUCACCAUGCAAAAUAUGUUGUUUGUAUAGUAACUGGGAAAUUAAGAAAUAGAAUUUUUACCUUCCUUUCACAGGGAGCUCAAACAAUCAUUGUGUCUCAGCUUUUGUUAUUCCAUAUUUUAAGCUUGUAGAGAUGUUAUGCUAUUAUUAGAACCUUUUUCUUUCAAAAUCUCUCAUUUUAAGGUGGAAUAUUGCUUUUCUUAUUUAAAUAAAUAGCUUUACCCUGUGUUUUGGAAUCUUAAAACCUGCUUCAGAUUUUUUUCACUUUUGACAGAAACUCUAGACAUUUUUGUUCCGUGAAAUCAACUUUGAUUAGAAUCAUAUUUCUCCGAUUAAAUAUCUUUUGGGCUUCUGCUUUGUGGGUGUUAAAUUUUCUUUCAGUUUUUCGCUAUAAUCAGAAGAUCUAGACAAUUCUCUUUUUUUUUGAAAAAUAGAUAACAUGCUACCCGUUUUGUUUAUUUUUUAAAAAAACAAACUUAGCUGAAAACGUGAAUCAACUAGGAUUCGAACUUGAGACCUCGGUUACGCCCUCUGCCACUUGCACUAGGGCAAAUAAACUUAACUCUAGACAAAUUCCUUGUCCUAAAUUGAGGUUUAUUGGUCAUUAAUGGAUCAUUCCUGCAAUUAAAAAAUGGCCAACAAAGUAGGUGCCUUAAAGCAGGGUUCAAUGAAAAAGGGCAACAGCAUUUAAUGACUCUGCUCCACCUUGUGGUUGGUACAUGCAUCUUUGAGUGCUUUCAUUGUCAUUGAUGAAGAGUAAAUGUUGGCUUGCAUCAACACUUGAUGGUGGCACAAUCAUUGAGUAAAAAUCAAGCAAUAAAAAUUGAUCUAGACUCCACUUUUUUUUUAUACAGUGCAUUUUGUUUUUCUAAUUAAGGCUUAUUUAGUGAUCUAAUCAAGUGCUACUCCCUCUCAGUUAGUUAGUUGAUCCAUUAAAAUUGACUUUUCUAUUUUUGUAUAAAUAUCUUUUUAAUUAUGUUUAAAAUUAUUUAUCAAUUUUAAAUUAAAAAAAAGCUACUUUUAUAAGGGCAUUGAACUCCAAACGGUCAAACUUUAAUAGUCAACCAAUGGUAUUUGCAUAUUUUGAAGCUUUAGAGGGAUGUGUAUGAUAAAUAAAAACUUGCAGGUACAAAGCUGUGUAAUUUUAAAACUUUGCAGGAUUACAUAUGAAAUGAUCCCUAUUAUUACCUUGUUUGGGCUCUACAACUGUAUAGUAAUCAUACAUAUAUUUUGUUUAACAUUAUUUUGUCUCAUUAUUACAUGCUU